UAUAUAAAUUAAAAUUUAAUUUAAAUUCAAAUUUAUAAGUUAGAUUCAUAAUACUUGAUUAAAUUUUAAUUUUUAAUUCAAAUUCAAAUUCAAAUUUAAAAUUAUAAAUUUAAUUUUGAAAUUUAAAAUCAUAUUUUAAUUAAAAAAGUUGAAAAAAAAUUAAUCCGAAUAAAUAUUCAUUCCGUCCGAAUUCAACUUCCAAUUCGGCCUCCUAGGCCGGAUUAAAAAAAAGAGGUGAUUGGAGGAUUUCCAUUCCACUCGGGAAUCGGAAUCAGAAUGGGACUCCCGCAUACCAAACACCCACAAACGAAUUCACCUAUCCCGAUUCUGAUUCCAUGGUGAAAAAGAAGCAAACAAAACAUGCCCUAUAUGUUUAAACCUAAGUAUUUUUAUAAACAUAUUGUAGUAUCCAAGGUAUUUUGAGGUGAACAUUCUAAAGAGGGUGUUUUGUUUUGCAAUUUGAUGUGAUUUUUGAUGAAACGAAAAGUGCCAUCCUUAUGUUUUGCCAGUGUAGUAAGUCUUGUAUUGGACCCCGAAGCAAUUUGGCAUAGUAUGAUGAUGUUUUGGAGAUGAAUUGGCACAAGUGCAAAUUUGCCGAGUUGCAGUGCAUAUGUAAAAAGCGUGACAUUCCAUAUGUCAAAUUGCACGAUUUUUGAGGUGGAGGCACUUAUAAGCAAAACGCAACUAUGGAUGAGUUUUGGGUUGGAAACUAUGAACUUGAGGGACUAAUUGCAAUUUUUGCUAAUGUGGAAAAAAAAGCCAACGUGCGAAAGGGUUAUCAUUUUAUGUGAGAAAUUUUGAAAUUUUCAUGAGCGGAUAGGCUCGAGUAAAACUAGACUUAGAGGGGACUGCGUGGAUUCAAUUUUCACAAAAUUCCGAGAUUUUUGUGAAAAUUGGCACGCAUUUGAUUUUAGGGAGAGAAAUUUGCUUGCGGGUGCAUUUCGCAAAAAGUGCAGCGCGUUUGAUGCGCAAAAUUGCGAAAUCACCUAGUUGGAAGUAGGGUGUCAAUGGGUAUGGAUACCCGAAAUUUUAUUCAAAUCCGAACCCGAAUAAAACGGAUAUAUCCGAUGGAUAUGAAUAUGGAUUCGGAUAUGGAUAUCAAAAAUAGAAAUCCGACGGAUAUGGAUUCGGAUAUGGAUUUUGAUUGUACCCGACCCGAACCUGAAUCCGACCCGAACCCGAAUUUAUUUUGUAUUAUAUAUAAUAUAUAUAUGUAUAUAAAUUUGAUGUUAUAUUUAAAUUUGUAUUUUAAAAUUUUAGAUUUAAUAUAAUAUAUUUUGAAAUAUUGAAAAAUAAAAUAAUUGUUUCAGGUUCAAAUUUUUGGGUUCGGGUUCGGGUUCGGAUUUUGGAUUUUUGGUCGGGUUCGGGUUUGGAUAUGGAUUUUUAAAAUCCGUCGGGUUCGGGUCUCGGGCUCAGAGUCGGGUUCGAGUUUUUAAAAAUCUGCCCCCAAUCCGACCCGUUGACAUCUUUAGUUGGAAGGCCUUCAACAUAUAUUGGACUAUGCUGGGGAGUUGUACGUAAGAGCGAGCUGGUCGGGUAGUUAGUUGCAAUUUUACAAAGGAAAAAAUGUCAAAUAUGUAUAUAGGUAUAUAUGUAUGUGUAUAUAUGUAUAUAAUAUGUAUAAAUUUGAAAUCCUAACCUAAAUCCCCUCCCUCUGCUUGCUCACAGCCGCCGACGCCGGCACCACUGCCGGCGUCCCUCUCUUCUGUGGUUGAAGCCGUCGCCGGCGCUAGCGCUGCCGCCAUCACAGUCGCCAUGGCAGCCAGCACCACUGCAUUUCACGCCGCUACAGCUACAUCCGGGCCGGAGACUCCCCGUGCGGCCACACUUCCCAGCCGCGCCACCCUGCUCAACGGAAUGCGGCCAGAUCCGAGCUGCUGCUCUUAUUGGUCCCUUUUUGGCCGAGAAUACUAUUCCGGCCAAUCCAGACCUCCGGCAACCCUCCGCUGCUGAGCACGGCCACCCUGGUCAUUGGUGCUGUUCCAUGCCCCCCUAGCUGCUGGUAACGAUACCCUGAAUUGCCGUUUUCAUUAGUGCGCAUCUAGUGUUCGAUGAUUUGACCAGUUCUUCUUUUGGCCUUUUCGGGCAACCGGGUGGUCGGAUUUCGCAAGUCUUCGGAGCACGGAGAUCAGUGGGCACUCCUCUACACGGUGCUCACCUUUCUAGUAUGAUCCGGAUGCUCGGUGGAAUUGCGAAGCUAUCGGAUACUUAAAACGUCUCCGCACGGCCUAUGCGCACUCUCCGACCUUCGGCGAUCAUCUGGGUGCCCUUGGUUCUGGUUCACCACAGCAAAUGUAGAUUUUCGAUCCCUUGUCCUGUUGACUGACUCCCAAUUGCGCGAAUUUGGUAUGUUACAUCGGAACUCCACUUCCUUCUUUUAUAGAUGCUAUAUAUAUAUAUAUAUGCAAUGUUGGACGACGUGGACUUUUCAAUGCCUUGUGCUUCAUGAGUGGGGGUGAACUGUAGAGUUGGGUAUAAUUAGAGGCCCGAACUUGUUGUUCGAAGUGUGGAAGCCUCCCAUGAUAGCUAGAUUCGGUGUGAAUCGACUCGAAUCGAUUCGAUAAUUGGAUCGAUCGUGCAAUUUUCGAUUUUAUUAUCAUGGGAUCGAUAUUGUUGCUGUCCGGAUUUUUUGUUGAGCCUUGUUGGCUGAUCUUGACUCAUGUUCUAUGCCUCUUAGGAUGGCGAGUGCUCGGUGGAUGCUCUGGAUACCGAAAUAGGUGUCACGGGACCCACUUCGAGCCACUUUUGGGGUUAUAGCUUCCGUUUUGGUGCAUUUUGUUUGCGGCUGUCCCAACAUCUAAAAUAGGGUGUUUAGGGGACAGCGGGUACAACUUAGAGAGGUAUGGUAUGAGCCGGGGCACUUCGUGAGCUAAGGUGGCAUCCCGGUAGUCCUAUGCGGAAGUCGGUGGAUUCGGGAGAUCGGUAAGGAUGUCCGAUGUUUCGUUUGUGUCGUGGCCCAUUGUGGGUCACCUUAUGUCACCAAUUGGUGAAGUUGCAAUAUUGUGAACGUCAUUGGACCAAUUGUAAAAUACAUGUAUGGUGCAACACCAAAGUGGUGUUCGGAUCAUUGGAACGACACUUAUAGGUUCGGUUGUAGCCUGGUGCGGCGGUUGUCAUUCGGUUUGGCGAGCACUUAGCAUGCGGUUGUCUCAUCAUCUAAAGCGGUGAAUCUUGAGAUUGCUGUCGUGACGCGGUGACUUCUUGUUAAGUCGGCUUGGUUUGGGCUUAGUUAUGUAUGCCGGUUUAUGGAACCGACGUUCCGGUCGCAUUAUGAUACACGCGAGUAUAAGUGGAAUUUGUUGGUUUGAUAUAAACGACACGCAGAAUGUUGAUAAUGCUUUUGUUGGUAUUUUCUAGAUACAAGUAACUUCGAGAAUCAUUGGUCGAGUCGAGGACUCGGAUACUUGGUGAGGUGGGUGUAGAAUGUCGGCGUACCAGGCUGAUAAUAAAACUCUCUUUAUUACACACAAAAUAACUCUCAUUCACAUACACCCAUAAUACUACAAACUUCACACACUUCACUAUUCCUCACAACACUUCCUCACCUCACACCCUUUCUUCACUACUACCUCACUCACACUCUUUCACACCACCUCACACUCACUUUACUUGCUUCACUCUUGCACACUUGGUGUGGAGGCCUCACACCUAUUUAUAGGCCUCAACCUACAUACAUGAGUAUUCUAGAGUAUUCUAGAGCACUCAUUUCUAGAACCUUCUAAAGUGCUCUAUUAGUAAGUAGAGAGCACUUGUUUCUAGAGUGUUCUAUAAAAAGAUAGAGUACUUUGAUCCUAGAGUUUUCUAGAAUGCUCCAUUAGCUAUUAGAGAAUUGGAAAGGGAUAGAGCAUUCUAGAAUGUUCUAUUAAAGAGAGAGGGAGAGUUGCCUCUUUCAGUGGGUACUCCAUUCCGAAGUCGGUAAAGUUGUAUCUUACUCGGUUCUCCUUUCUACUUGAUCUAUUCUAUAUAUUGUUUGAGUAGGACAACUUCCCCUGACUUUAUAUCUGUAUAUGCUUUUACUCUACAUGCCUGUUGAUCGUUACAUUGAUUAUCGUAUUGAUUCGUAAACUCUUGAUUGAGCUCUCUCCUAUCUCAUAUGUGACAUGUAGAGUAGGUGACGAUCUGGUAGAAUAUCCACCUGUUCAUGGUUGGAUCUGAUAGAUUGGUACGUACUCCUCGUUGAGUUAUGAUUAUGUUAAUCAGUUGAUUUAUCUUCGAUAAGACUAGACCUUAUUGUCAGCGAGUUACCCUAUGAGAUUGACCUAGUCAAUCGGUGUUUACCUCCUCAGAUUUAACCUAAGGUCGGAUGACGUAUUCCAUCGUGAGUGUCUUUAGCAUGCACACCUUUGUCGCUCACAUUAUCUUUAUCUUCUUGAAUACUCGUUUAGUGUAGCAUGCUAGUCGACCGAAGAGUUUGGAUCUUGGUAUUUUUAUUGGCAUCCAGUGAGAUUACCUCUUGGCUCCUACUGUUGCUUACGGGCAGUGAUUUGAUUGUUGAGUCUAGGUUAUUGGAGCUUUGAGCAUACAAAUAUGACUAUAGCUUGUAUGGUACUGAAGGAGUCUUAGACAGGAUUUCUAACCGAGGGUACUUCAGUUGCCAGUCGGUGGGAGGUGAUGUUUCAUAGACGAGGUUCGCUACCCUAAGUUCUCACCCCCAGACUUGAUAUACACCGCGCUUAGACAGAAUUAGCGACUUUGGGUACGGGUUGAUGUGUCCCUCCGAAGUUGUACUUGAUUUGCAGUCGUCGAGAUCUAGUGGGCGAGCUUAGGCCGAGUCUUUAUGAUCGGCCACAGUGAUUGGGUAUAUUUUGGACUACUUACACGUCAAGUUGAUGCAUCGUAUCUCUUUUGGGUUGUGCGUGGUAUCUGGUUUACAGUAACGAUAUCCAUUGUUUAGUGGGUUAUGAUUCAUCAUCUUACUGCCGUGUUGGCAUAUGAUCUUGUUUACAGUAGCAGUAUCCCAUUGUAUGAUUACUCACGACAGUUAUUCGCUGAUCUUUCUUGCUGCUGUGGUUGAUUGUGUACCUCAUGCUUAGUAUCUUGAUUCUUACAUCAAUAGCGGCAUUAUUUUGUAUUCUAGAUCAUGACAUUUAUCUAUCUAUAUAUGAUGCUGCUGUAGUUGACUAUCUAAUUUUUGCUCUUAAUUGUUCAUCGUACUCCUUUGUUUGCCAGUGAGUGCAGCUUGCCCUCGUCGGCUGCUUGCCCUCAUCGGCUGCUUCCCCCACUGGAAAACAUAUUUAUAUAUUCCUCACCCCACUGUUUUUACAGGUGUCGCUGAUAGUGCGGGCCGGAGCGCGGUGCGAGGGCACGGUUAGUUAGCUAUUAGCGCCUAGAUAGCUUGUGCCAUGGAUCACAAUUUAUAGCUUUAGUUUUUUCUUAUCUCAGUACCUUAUGAUCUGAUUGUAGUUAUGUGAUAUUAUGUGUUUGGAGUUUAGUUGCUUUUGGGUUUUUUCUAGUGUAGUAGUUUAGUCGAUUCUAGAUUUUGGUAUUGGUUUGAUUGGUAGUUGUACAAUUAAACUAUCUUAUUUUGUUUGAUUGUGGUUCUGUAUCUGUGCUUCUACGUCGUGCAUGUACCGAAAGAUUCUGUCCGCUUGGACAGAGAAUGCCCUGUGCGUGUGGCGUGUUUGUGCAUGUCUCGGGCAAGGUUUAUAAAAAAAAUUCACGCUUUUCUGCAACUCUAUUUUCAAAUUGGAUGGUUUUCUUAAAAAUUAGCUUCCAAAAAUGGCCCGGAAUGUGACAGAUAUAUAUAUUUUUAUAUUUUCAAUCACAAUUUCAUUUCUAUCUAAUGUGGAAAUAUUUGAGAGUCACAUUUUCAUAGGUCAAUUAAGUUUAAAAAAAAAAAAACAAAAUUAGAAGAGUGCAAAGUGUAAAUAUAUUAAAUCAAAAGGAUGUAAUUACUUGAGUUUUUUAAAGAAAAAAUGUGAUUACAUUAUUGUUGCAUGCCAAAUCACUACCAAGAGACAGACCAUCUAUCAACCUAGGAAUGUAAAUGAGCUGAACACGGAGUGAGCUGAACCUCUAGGGAUGUAAAUGAGCUGAACAUGGCGUGAACUGAACCUCUCUUGAGCUUAGUUUGAAAAUCUAGCUCGCAACUUUAGUUUGAUUCAAGCUUUCCUCAACUAAGAAAAGCCUUUUUUCUUGUUCAUUCUAUUUUUUUUACCUUGAGCUAGCUCAAGCUUGACUUGUUUAGAGAGAGAUAUGGUUAACUACUUGGGGGUCAUCUCCUAUUAAGUUAUAUAAAUAUUAUCUAUUAAGGGCACCCUCUAGUAAUUCUUAUAAGAUACGGACACGUGAAUAAAGCUAGAAAACUAACGCAUAUCCUAGCCUUUAAGGGAGUUCCCUACUAAGUAUUUGGAGUUGCCACUAUCAAGAAGGACCCUUAGGAAGGAAGAUUGGUUGGGAGUUAUUGACAAAAUACAAAGAAGAAUUGACGGGUGGCAAGUUAAGUUACUCUCGCGUGGAGAUAGAUUAACAUUAGUCAAUGCAGUUCUUGCCAACCUGCCAAUUUAUUUUCUGUCUAUCUACAAGGUGCCCAAUUUGGUCAUUAACGUAUUGAGGCACCGAGGAAGGACUUCUUCUGGAAAGGUGGGCAGGACACUACAGGAGGAUCAUACAUGGUAGCUUGGAGAGGUGUAUGUACGUGCAAGAAUGGAGGACUUGGGAUGACGGAUUUAGAUGCCAUGAAUGAUGCCCUUAUCACUAAGCGGUGGUAGUGUUUUUUUCAUGAGGCCGUACCUACAGUGGAGGAAGCUGAUCAAAGCCCUGUACUACUAUAGAAAAAAAACACCUGAGGGAAGGGAAGUCCUUUAAACUGGCCUCAAAGUGGUGGAAUGACGUGAUUAAGCUUAGGGAUGCCUUCAUUUGUGGAGCUAGCUUCUUUUUAGGGGAUGACCGGCAUAUUGACUUUUGGUCGAACAGGUGGUGCGAUGAAACCUCGCUAAGCUCUCUAGUACCUGAUGUUUAUGAUAAAGUGGAGCGUAAGAAUGUUAUUGUAAAAGAAUGGUAUGCCAGUAAAGGAUGGAGAUGAAGGAAAAUAUUAAGAGGGUUAAUUUAGCGAGUUGGGAUAGUAACUUGGCGGUAGAGGAACUCAACCGUAGGCUCGCGGUGGUUAGAACUGUUAACAAAUCAGAUGAGAUCUUUUUGGCGAUGGAAUAAGAGACACAAGUUCACAGUCAAAUCUAUGUAUAUGAUUCUUAGCGACAGAGGUGUUAUUAUCGCCUAAGAUUGGAGGUUGAAAGUACUAGUGAAAGUAAAGAUCUUUAUUUGUUUAGUACUUAAAAAAAAAUCCCUACGGUAGAUAAUCUACUUAAGAGAGGAUGGAUGGGGGACCAGGCCUGUGUGCUAUGUACUGACACUUGCGAGACUGUAGACCUUCUUUUCGCCAAAUAUGUGUAUAGUAGGUUUUUACUUGUAUCGAUACUUGAAGAGCCACUAGAACUCAUGGCUUUUGAGGAUGUGCAUAGUCUCUAGAUGAAGUUGGCAGAGAAGGAGAACUCUCCAACUUUUGCAAUGAAUUUGAACCCUCGCGUGGCAAUCUAGUGGAUAAUCUGGCUUGAAAGAAAUAAUAUAAUCUUUAAAAAGCAUAGCUCAAACACUGUGGCAGUUAUCAUGAAGAUCAAGUACUUUGUGAGAUAUGGAAAUUGUUUUGUUAUCACCCGACUUAAUUUUUUUUUUCUUUAAUAUAAUUCCUUCUACCUUUUUUUUUGCUCUUCUGGAGGCCUAAUUGCCUUAUGUAUGAUGUAACUAAGUUUAUUUUUAUUAAUAAAUGAAGUGAGUAGCGUGCUACCUUAUUUUCAAAAAAAAAAACAUUAUUUGGAUACACAAUGCAGGAGCAAAUGACAAGGUAUUUGCAUGACUAAUGUAAAACAACAAUAACUGUUAAAAGCCAGCCUAGCUAAAAGAAACUGGUCGCAAGAAAACUAUAAGGCAUCUAUUCGUCUCUUCUUGUUAAGAAUAUUAGUUCUAUACUGAUUGCAUAUUUGAAUAUUGAUCUCUAUAUAAUGUGAGGGGUUUCUCUACUAGACAACUUGAGUGUGACAAUCCGACCUUUAACAGCUACUAGUCCUACAUUGAAUAAUAUGAAAGAGUAUGAAGAACUUAUAUAUUGCAGGUGCGCUAGAAAUAAUUAGUGGGCUUAAAUAUUUUAUUUUGGUGAUUUAGAGUCUAACGAGUUAUUAGUGCUAGCAGAUCAGAUUAUCACUGCUGGUAUCGGAGCCGAUUCACCAGCCAAAAAUUUGAGAUAGAUCUUAUGGAUCUUACGUCGUCUAAUAAUUAACAUUCUAGCAGUCCUACAUCAAAUAAUGUGGGAGAGUGCAAGAGACUUAUAUGUGGUGGACUCAAUCAAGUUUAAGUAUUUUGAGUCGAUGGUUUGGACUCAACGAGUUAUUAGUACUAGCCUUUGAACACAAUAUAAGCUCGAUUAUGUGUGUAGUUAGACCUAGGCUAAUUAGGACAUCAGGGCCAAAGCUUAAGCAUUUUUGGCUGGUGAUUUGGAUUCAAUGAGUUAUUCAUGCUAAUAUAUAGACUGGUCAUUACAUUGAGUUUGUGGCUGAAGGUUGAGCCUUCGAACAUGUUAUUAGUUCGAUUUAAACCUUCCUUCCGAUCUUAAAUAUUUCGAUUCAGCCCUAUUUCUAUGUGUUUCGUUUAGUUCUCAACUGAUUCAUCAGCAAGUCUAUAUCUUACAUCCUCCGCCUUUUGCUUCAUUUGGAGUUAUGCCUCCUUACAAUUGAAGUUCACUUUAUUAGAAAUGGUUAGGUGCAAUUUUUAGCUUAGAAUACAUAUCGAAAAUUUAGAUAUGUGAAAUUUUAUUACCUUACUUAUCUAUGGAUAUGCUAGUGUUUACUAUUUAAUAUUUGGCUAAAUUACAGAAAAUUCUCAUGUAAAUACUGAUUUUUUCACAUUUUCUUUAUAACUUUCAAAAACCUACAUUUUAUCCUCUUAAAAGUGUAGAAAUAUUUUCAGAAGAGUACGACGUUAAUGGAUAUCGCAAAAUGACUAAAUUGCCUUUACUUCUUCUAUACAAAAAUAUUUUUUAAUAUAUAUAUAUAUAUAUGUCAUUUUAAAGGUCAUUUUCGGUAUAAAUUAUAAAAAAUGAACGGAAUAGUAAUUGAACCCUAACAGAGGGGGACUUAAUACAACAACUUGAAAUAUUAAGGAAGUAAAAUAUAGGUUUUUGAAAAUUAGCGAGAAAAAUUAAAAAUACGAAUAUUUAUAAAGAGAUUUUCUGUAAUUUAGCCUAAAAAUUUUCUUUCAAAGACUUUGUAAGAUGUGAGAAUGCAUACACUUUGCGCACAAACUCUUCAUGAUUAACGCAUGAGCUCAUUCUUAUAUAUGUUAUUUUUUCCAAUUAUUCCAUGACAAAGCUUCAUCCACAUGUGAUUUUGUAGCUCUUCCCUUCUAUGCUUCAUUUUGGCAUGAAUACCAUACUUUGUUGAAGUUUUUUCGCAUUGCUAUUAAUUUGGAAAAGUUUAGAGUUUCAAGUGAAACUUAAUUUUUCAAACAUAACAUUGAAGUAUCCCUAUUAACAUUUCUAAUACGGGAGCUGGAACCAUGGAGAAGACACGGGGGAAGUCAGCGGCGACAGUAGCAGAUGCGAAGCAGAAGCUGAAAGGGAAGGCUACCGAUUCCACGGCCGGCCGGCAGAGAAGGGCGGCGGAGGCUUGCCGUGUGACCGGAGCUCCCACGGCCCCCCCAAACGCUCCUCUCUCUGGGUUAAGCUCUGAUUUGGAGCGGAGGUUUCUGAAGCUCAAACGAUUACUGAACACAGAUGUUAAGGCACUUACCUACCAUCAUCUAUCCAGUCAUAAUGGUUGUUCUACCUCCCGUUCCAAAAAGGUGCACUGGGCGGAUACAGCGGGCUUGGCUUUAACUCAUGUUACCAUCUUCAGGAAAGAUGAGCCCUGUUCUCACACCGGACAUCGGGCGGCUCCUAUAGCAGCUUCAGAUGAUAGCAUAUCACUGGGGUCAAGAUUCGGACAGCCGAACAUUUAAUCACCAAAGGCCUCCCGCUCCCUGCUGAUAAGAAGAGCUACAAGGAAGCUCUUCUCACUUCAUCCUCUAUCUCCAACCAGUCCGCCCCUCCCCCCCUUGGUCCUCCUAAACGCACUUGGCAUUCCUUCAAAGGCCGGUGCUUUCGGUGCCUGGGUCGCGACCAUCGAGCCGCCAACUGCCGAGACCCCAUCCGGUGCAUCUCGUGUCUUAAAAUUGGACACAAAGCCCGAGCUUGUAUGGAUCGCCCGCCAUUGAAUGUUGACCGAGAGAUGCGCGCUCGCCCAGCAUACUUGAGCGCCUUCGUCUCUCUGUCAGAAGAUUUCUUUGCCAGGCAAAAUAGGCGUCGAAACACCAUACUGGUGGAUGUGGUCCCUCCGGCGAACCUACGCCACUUCCCCAGGACACCAUCUCUAGUGGCCUCGCGAACCACUUCGGAGGCUACCCCACUGACUUUCUGGUAGCUAAGCACAGGGAGCGGGACUUCAUCGUCUUCCUCCCUGAAUGGGUUCAGAGCGAAUCUCUUAUCCGCAGGGAGCUCGUCAGCCUUGGGGAUUUUAGGCUCAGGUGUUUCGCCUGGAAUCCCUACGUAGGCGCUCGACGCUUCCUUCCUCCCUAUAAGGCGUGGAUCCGGCUGGUGAGUUUGCCUUACGAAUGUUGGUCCUCCCGCACCGUGGCGUCCAUCGUAGGAGGUUUCGGUCGGUUUCUCAGAGCAGAUGAUUUCACCACACGGAUGGCCGAUCUCUCGAGCUAUCGCUGCCUGGUAGCCGUCAACUACCUCUCCGACAUCCCUGAGAAUGUGGAGAUCUCCUUCGGUGGUAUCUCAAUCUCGGUCUUGGUACAUCUUGAAAAAUAGGCCCAAGAUGGCCCCGCAGGUCGCGUGAACCCUCCUCCGCCGCCGAACAAGAGAUCCGGUCAUCACGGCCCUGAAGCGGGACCCUCUGAAGACGAUCGCCGCAACGUUGCUCAUAACUACGGAGGGAGAUCGUCGGAUGCAGCCGAUUCCAGCGCGAUGAACUCAUGGGACUCCUCUGAGAUUAGAGAUAGGCGGUGCGAAACCUUUGCUCGUUCCACGCAGCUCGACGCUCCGCCGUACCCCUCUUUGAUGCGAACGAUCCCAGCCACGCAACCCGGAUUCAAAAGCCUGGGGAUGGCAAAGCCGGCUGCGGAUUCUCUGGUCGGCGGAGCUACGGCCGGCGAAGGCACAGCCGACGGUACCUCGCUCAUCCCGUCGCCAAACCAUUCAAAUUCCUCCCCACCCUUUCUUUCCGUUUUGGUGAAACCUGUUCGAAAGGUGGGGUGUACUACAAGUAUGUCAGGAGCCUCCAACUCUGGUUGGUCAAAAGAUGGACUUUUUGCACCCCUCCCAAGUGACAUUAAUUCCAUUCCCUCCCGAGCUCUCCUUGAUUGCUGUGACAAGGUUGGGAGGUGGGGCCCACCUAAUGAAGAGUGGACUUUGAAAUGUGGAGGGCUCGUGAACCCGAGAUUUCACUGGAGCAUUAAUUUCCCUUCCUCGGGCCCCACACUUCUUGACUCUUCGAUAUUAAUUGCUCCAAUUGUGGGUGUUAGCCUGGCGGGUCAGCACCGGAUUGUUUCCAUCUUCAUGCCAGGCUCGGGCCACAUCGGGCUGGACCUUCUUCUGCCGGGCCCCCUCCUUUGCGCGACCCCCCCAACUGACUGCUUUCCGGGCCCCCACCUUCGCGUGGGCUCCUCCACGAGCCCCUACUGGGGCCCCCACAUUGCUGACCGAGCCUCAGGGCCAACUGGGAGCCUUCACAAGGCCCACCCGGGCCUCCUCUUGGACCUUCCCCCCGUCGACUGGGCCUUGGAUUCUAGGGGAAUUAUUCACAAGGCAGCAACCCCCUCAAUCCACGACUACCCUCUCCAUCCAUCUAACCCCCCUUGCGAAGACAACUCUACCGAAAUUACCUGCUGCGACUGUGACGCCAUUACUCCUUCAAGGGUCAGCAGCAGACUUUCUAACCUUGGAAAGGAGACCAUUCUGGGACGCGCGAUAAGCAGGAAAGCAAGUCUGCACGAAGGGGAGAACUCUGGUCGCGGCAAUUCCUUGAGGAAAUGGUCGGGCAAGAAAAUCAGGGAGAAAAGCGCUCGUUGUGGAGUGAAUCUGUCCACUGCCGAAGCCCAUGAUCUACGCGAAUUCAUGUUCGGGCCUAGCUCUGUCUAGUGUUGCCUUGUCUUGCCUCUCGCUGAUGUGUUUUGCGUUUUGUUUCUUGUUCUCAUGUCGAUUAGCAUCCUCUCUUGGAAUACUCGAGGUCUUAACAAUCGUCGCAAACGAUGUCUAGUUCGGUCAGUUGCGUCCAAGCUUUAUUUUGCUGUCAUCUGUCUUCAAGAAUCGAAAGUAGACUCAGUGUCUUGCUCUUUUCUUCGUUCUUGCUGCGGUUCGAACUUUGAUAAAUGUCAUUUUCUCCCUGCCGCGGGGGCCUCGGGCGGUUUAAUCACCUGUUGGAACUCAAAACGCUACUCCUGCAGCGAAGUUAUUGUGCGAGCGUACUCCCUUACCCUUUUUCUCACUCAUCUAGCAAGCGGCAAGAACUUUUAUCUCACAAAUGUCUAUGGCCCUCCAAGCUGGGACGGCAAGGAAGCGUUUUGUUCGGAACUACUUUCCCUCAAAGAUGUCUGCCUCAACAGAUGGGUCAUCUGCGGAGACUUUAACUGCACCAAAAAUCAAUCUGAGAGGAAAGGACUUCCGUGGAGCAGGAAAACUAUGGCCAUGUUUUCCGAUCUCAUCAACAAUCUCGAGGUCAUAGAUCUACCUCUGUCGAACCAAUCCUACACUUGGUCGAACAUGCAACACAGACCCACCCUAGCCAAACUCGAUAGAUUCCUAGUUUCCACGGAUUGGGAUCUAUCCUUCCCUUUAAGCAAGGUUACUGCUCUUCCCAGGCAUACGUCUGAUCACACCCCGAUCCUUCUUUCCACGGGAACCAAACUCGCGCCGAGAAGAUUUAGGUUCGAGAAAGUCUGGCUCUCCAAAGAUGACUUUCGGGCCAACGUACCUCUCUGGUGGUCUGAAGUCGGCAGUAAGAGAUCUGCAAUCCUCACGUUAAAUGCAAAGCUUAGACACUGCAGGGUCAGAAUAAAGGAAUGGUGCAAAACAAACUUCUACAGCAUAGGAAAAUCCAUAAAGCACUUACAGGAGGAGAUACAGAAAAUCGACCUCUUAGAGGAGCAACAAAAUCUGUCCGAAAAUGUAUAAGAAAGGAGGGCAAAUCUAAAACUGCAACUCCAGCAGGUUUUAGAGGACGAGGAAAUUCUUUGGAAAACCAGGUCCAAACAAACCUGGCUAAAGGAAGGUGACCAGAACACCAAAUAUUUUCACGCGGUGGCCAACGGAAGGAAACGUACUAAAACUAUAGAUGUCAUCGAGGAUGAAGAAGGAGUACAACUUCACGACGAAAAGCUAAAGCGAUCUUUUUUCUACCGCAACUUUCGGUGCCUGUUUGGACAGAGGGAGGAGAGACCGCAACCCCACGGGAACUGGAGUGCGCUAUACCAGCAAAACAGACUGCUGAACCCCGAGCUUCUAACGUCACCUUUCGACAUCGCAGAAGUCAAGAACGCUACUUUCCAACUAGCCGACGACAAGGCCCCUGGACCAGACGGUUUUUCCCUUUUAUUCUUUCAAGCUUUCUGGGAAUCCGUUAAGGUUGAUAUCUUCAAGGUCUUCGUCGAACUCCAUGAAGGCUCAAUUUCCACCGAUCCAAUUGACUACUCCAUUAUCUGUCUUAUCCCUAAGAAAGAGGGAGCCCGUAAACUCAAAGAUUUUCGGCCGAUCAGCCUUAUCAACGGAAUACAAAAAAUUAUCUCCGAAGUUCUAACCAACAGGCUAGCCAAUGUCUUACCGUCAAUCAUCUCCCCCGCUCAAUCGGCCUUCCUUAAAGGCCGACUAAUGACUGACUCGUUUGUUACUGCCAGUGAGUUAGUCAGCUGGUGCUCUAAAACUAACACGGAUUGCGCUUGUGUCAAGGCUGACUUCGAAAAAGCUUUCGAUAAUGUCAGGUGGAGCUUUCUGAAAGAUGUACUGUUGUGGGCUGGCUUCAGUGAGAAAUGGUGGUCUUGGAUUGAACAGUGCUUGUGCAAUGCAAAAGUUGCCAUACUAGUGAAUGAUACACCAACAAAGUGGUUGAAAGCCCGGAAGGGAGUUAGACAAGGAGACCCCCUCUCCCCCUACCUAUUUCUAUUAGUGGCUGACUGCCUAGCUAGAUUAACCGAAUUCGCUAGAAGGAACAACCUUCUUUCUGGAAUAGGACCUUCCCCUACAUGCCAAACAGUCCUAAUUCAAUAUGCUGACGAUACUAUUUUCUUUUGCGAACCCCGGAAACGUAGCAUGAGAAACUUGCGUUUCUUAUGGAAAAUAUUUGAAUGGGCAUCUGGACUUCGAAUUAAUCUAGACAAGUCUGAGCUUUAUUACCUAGGAGAUAGGCCCCAGAAAGCGGCUAAACUCGCUAACAUCCUAGGCUGUGUCGUAGGGCACCUACCCUUCCGAUAUUUGGGUCUACCGCUUUACAACAAACAUUUGAGAAAGGAGGAUUGGUCCAUUAUUAUAACUCGCAUCAACACAAGGAUAGAAGGUUGGAAGGCCAAACUACUCUCCCAAGGAGGGAGGCUCACCCUCGUCAACUCAGUUCUCACCAGUCUGCCUCUUCUCUACCUUUCUAUUUUUAAAGCUCCUCAGUGGGUAUUGCAACGAAUUGAAGCUCUUCGGAGGGCCUUCUUCUGGAAAGGUUGCAACAAAAUCACUGGGGGGGCUUGCCUCGUUAACUGGAAGUCUGUUUGCAAAAGCAAGAAAGAAGGAGGAUUAGGCAUCAAGGAGUUGAAAGCGAUGAAUCUGGCAUUGCUAUCCAAAUGGUGGUGGCGCUUCUACAACGACACGGACCAGCCAUGGAACAACCUAGUCAGAACUCUUUACUACAACAAACGUAGACCUUUACACGAGGGCAGAUCUUUUGUACCCUACUCGCAUUGGUGGAGAGGCGUGCUUCACAGUCGUGAAAUCUUUAGAUGCGGUAUAAGUCAUACUCUUGGUGAUGGCGUCAACAUCAAACUGUGGUUGGACAUAUGGAUCGGGGAAACCUCUCUACGCACUUUCUUUCCGUGCCUCUUCGAUCAUGUGAGGAACAAGGAAGCCACAGUAGCCCAAUGCUGGAACACCAACGGUUGGCGCUGGCGCUUCAUCGGUCGGGGCACUUCAGGGCCACCAUCUGUGGAAUGCCGCAAACAACUAAUGUUAAUGAAGGAAAUGCUUCGGCACAUCCGCCCAAGCCAAUUGCUAGAUUCGAUCAACUGGAGAUGGACCUCUAACCAACUAUUCUCCGUCAGAUCCCUUUAUAGGUUUCUCACAGACGCUGGACAGCAGGACAUAAUGACCUUACCUAUUUGGAAACUCAAAGUCCCAACCAAGAUUAAAGUCUUCUUAUGGCUGCUCCUGAGGAAAAGAAUUCCGACUGCUGACAGGUUACAUAAACUUGGAUGGCUUGCAGAACAAUUUUGUGUUUUCUGCGCCGGCGACUCGGAAAGCUGCGACCACCUCUUGACCUCUUGUGUUUUCGUUCGUUACCUGCUCGUCCGAGUGGAUGGACCGAACUUAUUGCUCGAACCCUCGAUGGAUGUUAGAAAACUCUGGACAAAAGUUUGCAACCUUGCUGACACACAGAAGAGAGCACAAGUAUUGUCUCUACUAUCCGCCAUCUGGUGGGUUGUUUGGACCGAGAGAAACGACAUCCUCUUCCGUGCUAAGCAAACUAAUCUUUCCCGAGCUCUAGACCGUAUCAAUCUGCUGUUGGCUGAUUGGAAAACGUAGUAGUAGUAAUAGUAGCGGUUGCAGUAGUGGUGGUUAUAGUAGUUGUAGUAGUAGUGGUAGCUCUUCCUUUCUCUUGUUCUUCCUUCUUUUUCUUUUUUUUCUUUUUUUUCAUUUUUUUUUUUUUUUUUUUUUUGACAACUGGAUCGUCAUAAAAGCUGCAUUCAGGCUGUUNUUUUUUUUUUUUCGUUUUAGUUUUUUGUUCGCCUUUUGUUUUGUCUCACCCUUCUCGCUCCCCUCUUGCGGAAGCCGUGGCUGCUUCCAUUAUGUAAGCCUAAUUCAUUUUCCUAAUGAAUGAAGCAAGUAGCUCGCUACCUAAUUCUCAAAAAAAAAAAAAAAAAAACAUUGAAGUAUAUAUGUUUGUUAAGAUCUCUUUCGCAAUGAUAUAAGGCUUGAAAUUCUUAAACUCUACUUAAGCUCUACUCAAAUUGUCACCUAUUGAGUAGCAUUAGCAAUAAUCAUAAAUGUCCUCUACUCACACCUUAAUUAAAAUACUCAAUUGAUAUAUGAUAUGGGAGGAAACCACACAUAAUACUAGUUCAACAAUUUGGUUCAUUCUCAUUUCGUUGUAAGAGAGAAUUCAAUAGUCUCAACAAUUUGAAAGCCAAAAAGUCUAUUUUCACAUGAUAGAUCUUUAUUACUUAAUUCAAUAUCUUUUCUUGGAUAGCUGAGGAGAGUAAACUAAAGAAUUGUCAAUGCCAAACGAGAGCCAAAUAAGUUGGAAGGAGGGUCUUAUAUGAUGGAGUUCUAAUCCAUACAAAUAGAUUAAUUGACAGUUUGUAGGAUAUACGUGGCAGCAUUUCCUGCUUCCACAAAUAGAAAUUGACACUCUACCUUGUCAAGCAUAAGUGCACUUUCACAUAUAGGAGAGGUUGUGAAUAGUCCAACGGGAAGGAUCCAAAUGGAGGAUCUUAGUCAAAAUAUAGUUCAUUCCCAAGGUUGGACCAAGAUAUUCCCGAGGUUUUCCAAGGUAGUAAAAAUAGCUCCUUCUCUCUUUUCCAAAUAGUAAAAUAGAAAUAAAAAAAACUCUCCCUGGUCAAAAGGAUCUCGAAAAAUCUGGAAUCACAUAUUUUCCAAAAUAUCUUUAAGAUUUGAAAAAAUCUUGAUUUCUAAGAAUUGAGCUCUAUAAAUAGCUCGAGAAGCGGUGAGGAUAUAUAGGCAUCGCAUAGGGGAUAACUUGGAGAAUUGGCAGAGUCGGCAGAGGCGGCUGCGCGAGAGCGAGAGGCACUACAACAAAAACGGUGUAUAGCGACACUUUUAAAUAUCGGUACAGAUAAAAAAAAGUGCUACUGGCAAAAUUACCAACACUUUAAAAAGUGUUGCUAUAUGUGGGGUCGCUAGGUAUAUAGUGACAGUUAAUGUCACGCCCCGGGACCGGCAGGGGCCCUCCCGGUAGCGUGCCCAGACCCGCCAUAUGUCAACACAUAUAAGGCGUCUACAACAACAGCGGAAAUAAACCAAAGAAUAACAACAUCUAGAGAUAUCAGAGCACAAAUAGAUCUAUCAUCUACAGCAGGGUAAAAGGAUAAUACUAUAACAAUAAGAGUGAAAUAUAAAAUAAUACAACAUCUGUCCUAAAAGGUACACAAAAGGGUGGUCUCUAGUACACUGGUACAGCUCUCAACCUCUCCAAAAUAAAAUACAUCGAGAGGUAGACCACCUAGCAACUCGUCACUUGCUGAAGAGUUAGCUCGAAGCAACGCCCUUCCCACGGUCCCUAGCCUCUCCCGGCGUGGAAGGCUCUGGAAAAAAACAUAAAAUAGAGAGCAUGAGAACUAUAAUUUAUAGUUCCCAGUGGGCAAUUACUGACCUCAGCUCAAUGCACCACUAGGCCCCAAAAGAAAAGGGUAAGUACGGUAAACAGCAAUAAUAAUAAUGACAACUGUGGUAUGAAAGUAUACAUGUUUACUAAGCUUACUAUACCAUAACAUUACGAUGUCAAUGUUUUACAUUUACUCUUUCAUAAAGAAGAAUGUACUCUGCGUAAGUAAUAUGUCCCAACAUGGCCACAGGUAAAUGUCACGGUCUACUUUAUGAAGUUAUAAAGAUCAUACUUUAUCAUGACAACAAUAUAUAUAUGGAUGCAAUAAGCAACAUCUCCUAGCAUACUACAUGUAUGUAUAUAUACUCAAGUGUCCAAAACUAUGCUAGAAGCAAGUCCAAGUAAUCCAACUACUACUCUCUAUCUAGUAGUGAUUAUACCACACACAACACCGUGUCGAUUUUCAUUUCUAAUUAAGGACCUAUCCAAGGUAGUUCAGCUUGUGCCGCCUAAGUGCCUGUGGUAGCCCAACAUCCAUAUUUUUGGAAUGUGUCUGUCCCACUCGACCCCGUAGGCAUCUCAAUACCGCACGAGCGAACAUAAGUCGCGUAGGCUAACUCCGGAGUGCCGGCUUGUAGGGAGCGACCCUCACAAGUAUGUGCGAAUGAGCACAAAUGGCAAGCAAGCAUAGUCAACAUCUCAAGUAUCCAAUCAUCAUGUCUCUAACAUGGUAUAGUCACUAGCAUCUCGAAGAUCUAGUUCUAAGUCACAAAUGAAGUUCCAACGUUCAUGAAGUCUAAUGCCCCUUGAUGACACUCAGAUGUUUCAAUGUUUGAGCAUAUACCAAAUCCCUCAAUGGCCCUAUCCACUAGGUUCACCCAUGUCCCGAGCUCAAUGCCGCUUGAUGACAUUAGCUCUCUAAUUCACAUAACAUUCUAGUUUGAUGCUCCUAUAUGGCAAUUUUGUUAUCUUUCAUGUCUCAAUUAAACUUAAGUUUAAAUGCAUGAAUCAAAGCUCAUUUACACUAUAAGGAAUAUGAUCCAACAUAAGAAUGCCAAAAAAUCCCGCAUAAGCUUCAUAUGCUAUUCUCUACUACAUAGAGAUCCAAAAUUUCAUUAUAUAUAACAUAGGCAUUUUAAGCAUUCCAAAAAUUAUAAUAAAUACAUUUAGUAUGAAUAUGCAUGCUUUUCCAAUUUAUGAAACAUAUAUCACCAUAUAUGAGAAUUUCUCAUAUUAUAGGAUAGGUCAAACCCACCAAAAUCGAAACCUUCGUUUCGCCGAACGGAGGUAUCCACUAGCUUCCUAGUACCCUAGAAACAUCAAAAAUAGGGUCACCCAAACGAAACGAAGAGCAAAUAGCUCAAUCAUUAACCAUAAAGCAAAAAGGGUCAAAACUCACCUCAAGAGAGAAAUCUCUUCUAAAGCUCCAAAAGAGGGCUAGAAUCCUUCCAAUCCAAGCCCAAGGAAGGUUCUAAACCAAAGAAUCUAGUUCCAAAAACCCUAGAUUCAAAAUGCCCAAAAUAAACCCUAAGUUCUCGUUCUAGGGUUUCAUCUCAAAGAAAACUCCAAAAUCCAAAACUAGAGGAAAGGAUCUUGCCACUUACCUCUUAGAAGCUUCAAUCCAAGCCCAAAGUCCUCAAACUUCUAGGAUCUUCCCUCCACCGAGCUCCAAACCCAAGCUUCAAGCCUCAACAAUGGUGGAAAUGCCUCCAACAAGCAAAAAUAGAAGUUUAAUCUCUUGAAAACCCAACAAAAAGAGAUCAAAACCAAAGAGAGACAAGGUGGGGCUCCUCUUACCUUGUCUCCCUGUGUUCUCAGCUCAGGGAAGGCCCCAAGGGGCGUGGGUGUUGAUAUAAGGAGGCUACAAAAGCAAAAACACCCCUGCAGUCUAGACUGCACGAAAAAUGCUCCCUUGUACCGGUACACGGGCCUUUGUACUGGUACAAGCCCCGCGAAAAAUUUCAACCCGAGGCUCGGGUUGGGGGGUUCAGCGGCUCUAUACCGGUAUAAGCCCGGUGGCUGUACCAGUACAACCAUCAACCUUGUACCAGUACAACCACCAACCUUAUACCGGUACAAGACCUCCGGAUAGCUACCCGAGAGUUUGCCAAAUCCCCUUUUUCGGGUUUUGGUGCAAAACUUUAAACCGCAAAUCUCGGGGUACGAACCAUAGGUCGGAACACAGUCAACGACACCCCAGAAAAUCUGGAAAAACUCAGAACACAGCUCAAACACUCGAACCUCGCAAUUUGCAAAGGUCCAGUGUGCUACAGUUAAAAAGUGUCGGUAUAAUCUAAAAAGAGUGCUGCUAAUUUACCAACACUUAUUUAAGAUUUAGCAACCGCCGGAACUCUACCUCGUUGGCUGCGGUGGUAGAGGAGGAGGAGGAGAGUAAAAGGCGCUUCGUCUAGAAUUUCAGUGGAUUGAGUGAGAGGAGAAGGGAAGAUGGUAAUCAAUUUUUUUUUUUUUUCUUUUAUGUUUGUAAUCGGGCCGAAUGGGUUGGGUGGGGUAGGUUGAGUAGAGUAAUCUUUUAUUUUUGGUUGGAUUAGGCUUUAUAUUUAGGCAUUAGUGGAUUUUUUCUAAAGUUUUGACAUAAAUGAGACACUUACAUAAAAGUGUCCCAAACAUGUGUCCCUAUAACAUAAUUUUAUUGUAGUGAGGGGUCAUCCACAUCUUCUGUUGCAAAACAAAACAAAAACUAAAAAAACAGAGUUUGAAUUUUUACCUUCUAAAUUAGCCUUCUAAUGAGUUGAAUUUUUUCUAUUUUUUUAAAUUAUUUUAUUUGAAAUAUAAAUUCUUAAUAUCGAGUUGGCAAAUAUUUUGAUAUUGAGAAGUUAACGAUUUUUUCUGAUAUAUUAUGUUUUUAAUUUUUUAAAAUAAAUUUUAAAUUUUAAUUAAUUCUUAAUAUUGAGUUGGCAAAUAUUUUGAUAUUGAGAAGUUAACGAUUUUUUCGAAUGUAUUAUGUUUUUAAUUUUUUAAAAUAAAUUUUAUAUUUCAAAAUUUAAAUUUUAAAUAAUUAUAUAUUAAUUAAUUAAAUUUUUAUUUAUCUGCAGCGAAGCACGGAUUUUAUAAUAGUAGAAGUAAAAACACCACUUUCAGGCAAAUGAAAGUUGAAAUUAUAGACAUAUUGGUCAAAUUUAAGAGUAAUUUACAUGUCAGCUCUAGCAUUCAGUAAGCUGGACGAGUAUAAGGUUAAUCGGUCGCCUGAGUAUAUUUAGAUAAUUAGAUUUCUAUUUUUUCUCUUUACAUUUUAAAUAUAUUUAUAGUUUAAUUCAAUACUUUUUGAUGGACUUUAUUUAGAGUUUGUUGGAAUAGUGUGGGCUUAUUAAGAACUUAUCUAUUAAAAGCAUUUUUAAAAUUAUAUGAAAGAAAUAUCCACAAGGAUGAAAGGAAAUAAACACCAAAUUAAAAUUCACAAACAAAAUUUAGUAAAAACAACACAUAAUCCUGAAAAAAGACAAGCAAGCAAAACAUUGCAGACAAAACAAAAUUUUUUUACUACCCAAAUUUAAUAAUUUUUCAGAAUUUGGUAAUUGUAAUAAAAAAAAUCGAAGACUUUAUCAAAUUUAACUAGUCAAUCAACAGUUAAUUGAUAAAAUUUUUAAUUUAUUUAGAUAUAAAAACUCAAAUAAAAAAAUAUUAGAGGAGUGAAUUCAAUUUAAAAAAAAAAAAAAUAAGCGAGGGGAUACGUUACUAUAGUUGAGGGGUCUCAAUACAAUUUUACCUAAUGGGUCGGGUCGGGUUAGCUGAGCCGCGCUUCGAACCCGGUAGACGGAAGUACGAUCGGGACCCUCCAUCGGCUCGACUCCCCUCCUCGUCCGUUCUUUCUGGCGGGAAACCACCCAUCCCUUCCCGCCAUUUUCACCUUCCUCUUCCCCUCACCCGUCUCUCUCCCUCCUAUUCCCGCCACAAACUCUCUCUCUCUCUCUCUCUCUCUCUCUCUCUCUCCUGUUCAUCUCCUGUUCAUCUCCGUCUCUCCAUGGCUUCUCCGGGCUAUUCCUCUCCCUACGGUAAUGUUACCAAUCUCUAUAUCAGUAUUUUCUUCGCAUACUUUCGCCAUCUAAACUUUUCUCGUCGUCGUCGGCAGGAGUGUCGUCUCCCGACGGCCGAUCGUCGAGCCCGAUCGCCACCACUCCCCACCGCGGCGGCAGCCCCUUCGCCUCCGCCUCCCCCCGACGCCCCUCGCGCCGCUCCGCAUCGGCGGCGCCCUCGACGCCGAUGUCCACCGACGACACCCUCCCCCCCUCCUCCUCCUCCGACGCCGGCGACGACGCCGCCUUCGCCGGCGACGACGCCGACCCCACCCCGGUCUACGUCUGGGGCACCAGCAUCAGCGUGCAGGACGUGAACGCCGCCAUCCUGCGGUUCCUGCGCCACUUCCGCGAGCCCGACAACAGCGCAUCGGCAUCGGCGGCAGCGGCGGCGGCUGCGGCGAUGGAGGAGGGCAGGUACAUGCGGGAGGUGCACCGGAUCAUGGAAUUGGAGGGCGGGGAGUCGCUCGACGUCGACGCCCGCCAUGUGUUCGACUACGAUCCCGACCUCUACGGCAAGAUGGUCAGGUACCCGCUCGAGGUGCUCGCCAUCUUCGACAUCGUGCUCAUGGAUCUCGUCGCCAGGAUCGACCCCUUGUUCGAGAAGCAUAUCCAGACCCGGAUCUUCAAUCUCAAGUCCUCGGUUUGCAUGCGCAAUCUCAACCCCUCCGGUGAGAUUUUGUGCGGCAUUUCCGUAAAACUUUAAAAGAUGCUGUUGUGUAUGAUUUACUAUUUUUCCCAAUCCGAUCAUAAUUCAAAAUUCAUUUUGACCUUUUUUAUCGAACAUUUUGUAACCCAAUAGAAUAUUUAGGUAUUUGAGGAAAUGUUCUAAAAGUUGUUUUUUUUAAUGAAAAUUGAUGAAUUCUAAAGAAUUCGACAACAUUUUACGCAACAACGGAUAGUUUUGGUAGUGAUGAUCUUUAUUGAUUAGGAGAAGGGAAAAAUUUGAAUUGGGGAUCUAUUGUUUGUAGACAUUGAGAAGAUGGUGUCGGUGAAGGGGAUGAUCAUCCGUUGCAGCUCGAUCAUACCGGAGGUCAAGGAAGCGGUGUUUCGCUGCCUCAUCUGUGGCUAUUAUUCAGAACCAAUCUUGGUGGAUAGAGGUUUGAAUUACGCUUAUUGAACUAUUAAUAGUUACUAACUCGAUCCCCAUUUUGAUCUUUAUGUAUGUACUAUACCUAGAAAAGUAGUACAGGUUAUUAGUUGUUCUUUAUUUCACUGAGAUAAUCGACAAGUAUUAUGUGUCGGUUUUUACGCAGCAAACCGAUAGUUUUCGUGAAUUGUUGAGCUCUAUAGCGUUUUCUAGUAGUGCAUUAUUGUAAUUGUUGGUAUAUUUUUGUUUAAUGAGGUACUUAUUUCCAUCGAUAAAUUAACCUUGUCAAUUACACGUCUAUCCUGCUGAAAUUGAUAGAGGUGACACCAUGUACACCAGCUUUAUAUGAUUGAUCUAGAAGCUUCUUGCUGAGAUUAAGCUCCAAUUUGUUUGCUGCAUCUAGGGAACCCAGAUACCUUGCUACCUUAAGGAACUUGAGCCUCAUAUUCCUCUCUUUACUAAGAUGUUCGUUCAAAUCUAUUCUUAAAUAACUUUUGCUUUCCGGUGCAAUUCAUGGCUUUGACAUUUUCGUUUGUUUAGGACGAGUCAGUGAGCCAACCAGAUGCGGUAGGCAGGAAUGCUUGGCCAUGAAUUCCAUGACACUCGUCCACAAUCGAUGCAGGUAUUUGUUUCUUGUUCACGUGAUAGUAUUGUCCAUGAUGAAGAGAACUAUUGCUAUUGCUUACAGAUGUGUUUUAAACUUUUUUUUAAAAAAAAAAAAUCAGAUUCGUGGACAAACAAAUCGUGAAGUUGCAGGAAACGCCAGAUGAGAUACCCGAAGGAGGAACGCCACACACUGUUAGCAUUUUGAUGCAUGACAAGCUUGUAGAUGCUGGGAAACCUGGAGACAGAGUUGAGGUUGGAAACAAUUUUUAGAUUAUGUCUAUGUAUUUUCUCAUUGUUUUUUUUUUUGCCCCCUCUUUUCCUUGUUGAAAAAGUACUUAACUUUUCUUUUUUUCAUUUGCCCUUUCACUGUAGAUUACUGGAAUAUAUAGAGCUAUGAGUGUUAGAAUUGGGCCUACUCAGAGGACGGUUAAAUCCAUAUUCAAGGUAUAAAUAUGCCUCGAACUUUAAUGUGAAUAAAUAUGUUUCUUCUUUUACGUGAUCUGCAUUUUACAUGUAUAAUAGCCUGAAUGGUUUAAAUGUUUAAUGAUGAUGAAUUGAAGAUGAUGUAGUUGAUUUCUCUUUUCUCUGCUGUGUAGACGUACAUUGAUUGCCUUCACUUAAAGAAAACCGACAAGUCGAGGCUUCACAUUGAGGACACCGUGGAGUGCAAUAAUAAUAGCUCUUCAACCCAUAAGGCUGGUGACGAUGAAAUGCCCGACUACCAAGAUAAGGUUUUUUGCUUAAUCUCCACUAACUUAUCUUAUUGCCUUGAAUGGAAAUUGGGUUUUAAUGAUGUUGAUUUUCUCUUUGUUUAGUCUAAUUCUUUCUUCUUUUUUCUUUUCUUUUGAGUUAUACAGGUUGAGAAAUUAAAAGAACUCUCGAAGUUGCCAGAUAUCUAUGACAGGCUAACCGGAUCUCUAGCUCCGAACAUAUGGGAGUUGGAUGAUGUGAAAAGAGGCCUUCUUUGCCAGGUUUCUUAAAUGUUCUCUUUCUGUUUAAAACGACUCAAUGUAUUCAUGAGGCAUCAAUUCCAAAUAAAUAAGAUAAAAAUGCACAGAGUUUACUUGAACUGAAACACGUAUGACUACAUGAACUUGAAAAUAUUUUGAUUUUACUACCAAACUUGGCAGUAUGUUUGAUUUAAGUAACUCUUUCUCGGAAUUUAAGGGUCCCUAAGACGGAAUAUUUUGUACCCUAACAUUGACUAUAUGCUAUAACUUGUUUGCUGGGAACUGUCAAGUUCAGACAGAACUUGAUGAAAUUUUUUGAAAUCGGACAUAAUGAAAUGCGAGGGAGUAAAAUUAAAAUUAUAAAAUGUGUAGGCAUGCCUUUCAAAAUGAUCUCAAGUUCAGGUAAGGUCUUACAUUUUUAGCUUUGAGCAUUUCAUACUGUUCAGAAAUUAUUUUUCUGAUAUUUUGUUCCACCCAAUCUUCUUGGUUUAGCUUUUCGGCGGGAAUGCUUUGAAGCUUCCCUCGGGGGCUAGCUUCCGAGGGGACAUCAACAUUUUACUAGUGGGAGAUCCUGGAACAAGUAAAUCCCAGCUGCUUCAAUACAUCCAUAAGCUGUCGCCACGUGGAAUUUACACCAGUGGAAGAGGAAGCUCUGCUGUUGGCUUGACAGCUUAUGUUACAAAGGAUCCAGAGACUGGUGAAACUGUAUGUAACUCCCUCUCGCUGAAUUUUGAUGACUAUAAAGAGGGAAGAUAUUCAAGUUAUUUUGUGUUUGAUCUUUUUGAUGAAUAUUUUCAGGUUUUAGAGAGUGGCGCAUUGGUGUUGAGUGAUCGAGGCGUUUGCUGCAUCGAUGAGUUCGAUAAAAUGUCAGAUAAUGCACGGAGCAUGUUGCAUGAGGUCACUCAUUUACCAUGAAGAUGCUUCGGCAAUUUUUACUUCCUUUUUCGAAACUUUUUGUUGGACCUUUCUUUUUUAUGUGAUUUUAAAAUUUUUAUGUCACUACCGUCCCUUGUAUCAAUUUCUUUGGUGCAACUGUUGCAGGUUAUGGAGCAGCAAACCGUAUCAAUUGCGAAGGCCGGGAUUAUUGCUUCCUUAAAUGCGAGGACCUCAGUAUUAGCUUGUGCAAAUCCAAGUGAAUCACGCUACAACCCUCGGCUCUCAGUGAUUGAUAACAUCCACCUUCCUCCUACUCUGCUAUCUAGGUAAGCUGAUACCCCUAUGAUAAACAGACCAGACUGUAUGCAAAUUAUUUCCAAGAUAUCGAAUUAGUACAUUGUUUCUUUCUUAAAUAGGUUCGACCUGAUUUACUUGAUACUAGACAAGCCUGAUGAACAAACAGAUAGGCGUCUAGCGAAGCAUGUCGUUUCAUUACAUUUUCAAAAUCCAGAGGUAAGAAUUCAUAUCUUUGAAAUUCUUUAUGUUGCAUUAUGGUUCUUUGUUCGAGUUGAUUGCUGGCAGCUACAGCCUUUCAGAGAAUACUUACAAAAUGCAUGCUAAAGAUAAGAAUACUUGGGAUCGCUUGAUCAAAUAUUUGCACAGAUAUAAUUCUAUGCACUUGCAUUUUAGAAGUAUGUGGUAUGAUGCUGGAAUUUACUACCAUUGGUUGCUGUUACUGGUAACUUUAUUAAGUUAGCGUCUGUUUGUCUUGGCUUAUUGGAACAGCGUGCCUAUAGCAAAAUGUGGAAGCUUUCAGUAACAAGAUUUUGGCUAACAAAUAAUCUUGAAAUUUUCCUGUAGUGCAGAGCUAAAAUGAGCUCUCUCCGAUUUGAAGCUUCUAUUUUUUCUGCAGCGAGAAACUGUGUAGGAGAUUAUGAUCAAAAGGCUUUUAGUUCUUUUAACAAACAGCUAUAGUCCAACAGCACUCCUGUAGAAGCUCUAGCUGGGCUAAACAGAUCGCCCUUCGUGUUUGCUUAUACCAAUUAUUUGAUGAUCUUUUAUUUUUUUAGACUGUAGUGCAAGACGUGCUGGACCUCCCUACGCUGGUUGCAUACAUUAGCUAUGCGAGGAAGAACAUUCAUCCACAGAUAUCUGAUGAAGCUGCAGAAGAAUUAACGCGCGGCUAUGUUGAUAUGAGGAGACGAGGUAACACCCCAGGAAGCAGGAAGAAGGUAAGGGAAUCCCACCCUCUACAAAUCUGCAUUGUUAGCACAUUAACACUGAGCUGACGCCGUUGCAUUGUUUUUUCCUUUUUUGUUUCGCGACCAGGUGAUUACAGCAACAGCCAGGCAAAUCGAGAGCUUGAUUCGUCUUAGUGAAGCGUUAGCUCGAAUGCGGUUCUCAGAAUGGGUAGGAACAAUUUGUUUGUGCAUUUAUUGUAAUCAUCUUUGGAUUACAUCUGGCUAAAGUGCAGGAAACCUCGUAUGAAUUUAAUGAUUUUAACUUUACUACCCGGAUAUUUCGAAACAUAUAUAUUAGCCCUGUAAACUAAAAUUUUUCACCACUUUGCCUCCUCCAGUUAGUGUUCCUUUGGCAAUAUACAUCAUUUUCCUUAUAGACCAAAUUGGGUAAUAUAUAGGUACUAAAAUGUCAGAAGGGUGAAAGUAGAAGGUGUUUUGCCGCAUUUUAGCCAUUAAAUUUCCUUUUAUAGGUGUCUUUCGAUCAAAAGAAAUAAGAUACGGUGAUCAUGUUUGCAGGUCGAGCUACGAGAUGUUAGGGAGGCAUUUAGAUUGCUUGAAGUUGCUUUACAGCAGUCAGCUACUGAUCAUUCAACAGGUAAACACCCCAAAUCUUUCAUCGCAUUUUCCUUUUUGUCACAAAUCGUAUGCAAUCGCUUACAGUAAUUUGGUUCUCCAAAAAAGGGACGAUCGACAUGGAUCUGAUCAUGACUGGAAUAUCUGCAAGUGAAAGGAUGAGGCGCGAAAAUCUAGUUGCGGCAACUCGUAACCUUAUUAUGGAGAAAAUGCAGCUCGGCGGAGCCUCUGCUUACCUAAGAGAUGUAACAGAACUUUUAUUAUUUCAAUUGUAUUAAAUUUUGCAUUAUAUCCAAAGAUAAACUGAACAAUGUAUGUUGAUCAUGCAGUUGCUUGAAGAGCUGAAGAAACAAAGUUCAGUCGAAGUCACCCAAAAUGAUGCAAGUUCUCCAACUUUGUAACAUUGAUUUCUUUGGGGAAUUUGAUCAAUUUAGGAACUAACAUUCGGAAUUUUGUUGUAAUUUUUUCUUUUUCCAUUUUCCACAGCUGCGCAAUGCUCUUGCUACUCUCAUGAGCGAGGGAGUCGUCGUUAUUCAGGGUGACAGUGUUAAGAGGAUCUAAUCGGAACUACACUAUGGCAAACUCUGACGAUAUUAUAAUAUUUUCAUUUUAAUCGUCUGCAAGGGAGAAGCUGAAGAUGCGCCUCAUACUGAGGGGCCAAACACUGCUUUCUUGGGACUUUAUAUGGAUAUCUACUGCGGUAGCAUGUGUGUUGUAUUGGAAACAGUAUUUCUAGUCGGUACACUUACGACUAAUGCAGAAUCCAUUGUAUAUUCUUUGCAAGAACUUGGGUACUGCAGAACCUGUGUCUUGUCAUACAUGCUCUAAUUCAGUACACUUAUGAUUCAAGGCGGGGGCCGCUUAUUGGAGGAUAUUCCAUGACUUGUCCUUCAGUGUUAUUAUAAUUAUGUUGUCAUAAUGUCAAAAGUGAACCAGGUUCAGUGUUUUGAUGUUUUCUCCCUCUUUUGUUUAUGAAGUAACUGGUUCAGCCCCUGUAAUCAUUUGGGUUCUAUGUUGAUUAAUAAUUCCUUAAUUCAAUCGGAAGCACGUGUUUUAUGCCAUGGAAGGUAGCAAAGAAGAAAUUGGUUUCGUCAGUUGUAGUUUAUUUACAUCGGUAAAUUACAGUUGAGGCGCAUCUAAUCUCGGUCGCGACGCGCAAGUCCAUUUGAUGACAAACAACCUGAUUGGUAAAGAGCUGCAUCUGUUGGUUGAGAAAUGAAAUCCGAAGUACAUUCAAGAUCAAUGCAUUCAUUUGCUGGAGAAAUCAAGACUCGAAGGCACUCUGACUAUGUCAUUGCUGCAUGUUUCAGCAGUGACCUCUCUUUCUUUUUUUUUUCUUUUUUCUGUGUGUAGAGAAAAGCUUCUGCAGUAAGUUACAAUUAAAUGCAGUCAAUAAUCUAUUCUGAGAUUUCGAAGCUGUUGUUUCAGAAGCAGGCAAACUGAUUAGAGCUACAGCAAGUAGUCUCGGAUCGCUUUCUUGGUGCACGCUGGACCGAUUUGUUGUGGGCUAAUCUCAGGAUUAUCUUCUCUCAUUUUGCGCUCGUCGCAGUAAGAGCAUCACCUAUGUAAGAAAACUAGAGAAUUUGUAAACAAUUAGGUCACCAUAUCAUCCUUUCAUGGGGAUCUUACAUUUUUUUCUCUUUCUUUUUGUUCUUUUUUUCCUUGAGAAGGGGGGAAAUCCUUUCUGGGACGGAACUGUUGUGACUCGAAAAGCAAUUCGAUAGAAUUCAAGAACUUGUCUCACCCAAGAAUUUGUCCCAACUUCCAUUUCUCAGAGGUAUCAACAACCCCAGCAAAUAAGCGAAAACCGACAUAUACUUCUUUUUCAGCACAUUGGCUAAAAUACUGGGUCCCAAGAAGCAAAAUUGAACUUAGCCAAAGUUCACUUAAUUUGAAGCAAUAUUUUUGGUCUCACUGAAACAAUUCAUAAUUUCCCUCACGUGUAUGAAAAGUUAUUGUAUGGGAGCAACCGAUUGCACAUGCAUCUGAUUCUAAAUUGCACGAAAAAUUAAGUACAGAAGAAACAGCAAAUUAGCACAUUAAUUCAUAUUUUUAAUGUAAAAUUAAUGUUUAUUGGUGUGGGGGACUUGUCAUUAGAAAAAGGCAAUGAUGGUUUGAGGCCUUUCACUUUCUACGCCGUCGGCCUAUUUUAUAUCAUGUGCUUCAUUAGACCUCUCAGAAAACAAAAAAGAAAAAAAAAAGAAAAGAAAAAGUGAUGCAUGGGGUGUAAAAAUAUAUGUAGGUGGUUAGCAAAGAGGGUUUGUUUUUUUCUGCUGCAACUUGCUUCAGAAUCCUUCUUGGUGACAACUUAAUUCUGUAGAAUCAUUCAUGCAUGUGAUUCACACCUUCAUUAGAAGUAACAAAAUGAAAGAGCAUUUACUUGUGCUAAUGCACAUUUACGGAAUUAGGAGUUGUUGAAGAGUUUUAGAGUUGGUGAGGGCUAAUUUAAAUAUACAGGCUAGGGAAUUUCAUCAAAACUCCAUGUUGUAGCCCGAAAAGGAAUAAGAACAGAAGAUGCAAUCCACACCAAGCUCGAAUCUUUCUUUCGAUCCGCGACGUUUAAAAAGAUCUCGAGAACUCGAUCGAGUUUACUCGAACAGUGCAGUAAAAGACAAAACAUGCUGUAAAACAUGUUGUAACUGACAACAAACUUGCUGAAAACAAUAACAGUUGUGGAAAAGGAUUCAUUCACUCUAUUCAUGUGUAGCGGCGGCAGUCACCGACAGUCGAGAAGUUAAUGCAUAGAGGUUCAUUGUCAGAUGUGCUAAAUGUGGAUUCAGGAAACAUUUUAAUAACCAAAGAUUGCUUGUUGCUUGUCCUCAUUGUUAUGUUUGAUUUGGAUCAUAGCAGAUAUUUUAGUUAAUUGCAAUGUGAGAAUCUCUCAUAUUUUAAUGGUAGGGCACAAAGCAGCAACUAGCCUUUCAUAUUAGAGAUAAUUUAAAAGUACAAAAUGUGGUCAAAUUACACCAAAAAGAAGUGACUUGGCUUUCUCAUUACUAUGAUGGCAAUUUGGAACUUGUGAUAUCAUUUAUGUGUUACUCUAGAUUGAUCUCAUUAUGCGUAUGAGAUAAAAUAUAAAGUGGCAAUUUCAAAAUGUACCCCUUUAAAAUUUCAUGGAUGUCCUUACCGUCGGAUCAUUGGCGCUAACCAUUAAUCCCAAAAGCUCGAACGGUUAGAAAUACGCAACCGCUCUACUUAAAACGUACAAACACAAUGCCCAUGAAUCUCAAUUGUGACUCUACCCAACCAGAAUCACGCCAUUUCGAAUAUGACUCAACCCAACCCAACCUCACACCAUUUUGAAUAUUAUUCACCCCAACAUGGCCUCCUGUCAUAGGACUGGAUACUGACCCAUUUAUGCCAACACUUAAAAAAUCUAAAAUAUUGAGUAUACUCCUCUAAAUAGAUGAAUUUAUUAUUGCUAACCCUACCCAGGUUAAUUACAAGAGUUUUAAACACUAGUUGAAAAUUUGAUUAAAUGACAAUUUUACCCUCGACUAUUCCUUCUUGGGCAAAAUAUUAACGCAUGUUGCUUUCUAUAAUUUAUUUUUUAUUAUUUAGGAUAACUUGCAUUUGAUUAAUUUUUUUCAUUUAAAAAGUGGGGGUAAGUUUGGAAUUUUAGAAAUAAUCCAUCAAAUUUGAAUGAAUUUUUAAGGGGAAUUUGAGAAUAUUUCUACUUUUUCCGGGGCAUUGGUGAUUUUCUGAACUUCGAAGGCGCAUAUACUAGAGAUUACAGUUCGACCGGAGGGCAUUCGCGAAAUUAUCCUAAAUACUCAAAAUGAAUGUCCAUAGGAAAUCACCAUUUAAAUUUCAAACAACAAAGUUUAAAAAUCAAACUGCAAUUCGCAAUUUGGAAAAACUUUCUCAGAUUCUGCCAGAUUUUCCCGAAAGGUAGGGAAAAAGAGAAUAAUCCUCUGCAGCUGACAGAUUCAGAAAAUCUGUCGGAACAGGGCGACAGCGAAAAACAAACACCGACAAAAUUAAAUGGAACAAAAAUUUGUUGUGAUCAGAGACUUUUGCAAGAACAUUAUUCUCAUCUACAUCUUUAUUAUUCAGAAGACAAGUAAAAAAAGCACAGGGGGCAAAAAAGGCUGGCCAUCUCUAAUCCCUCACAUUUUUAACUUCUUCCACAUUCAAAACUUGAGAAAGAGAGGGAGAAAAAGACAGAGAGAGAGAGAGAGAGAGAGAGAGUUUACAAUCAAGAAUUUCAAAAGAAGUCAAAAUCGAAAUCACUUGCCAAUGCUGCUGCUUGAGAUACAUCGAAGGCGGCGUCGGAAUUAUCCCGCGAAAGUGAUCCCAUCAUUGAGCUGCUGUAAUCUUCAGCACUGAACUUGUUCUCAAACAUCUCCUCACCACUCAAAUGUAUCUGACCAAAUGACUCCAUUUUACUGUCAGAAGCCCAAAUCAGUCCCUCACUCUCAAUCACAUUAUUCCCCUCUGCCCCCCUGUUGCAGUUCCAGUUGCUGCUGUUGCUCGAGCUCUCGCCGUAGCACCCGUAGUUCUCCGAGACAUCCACGGCGCUGCUGUAGUCGCAGAGCCCCGAUCCGGGCGCUGCGCCAUCCUGAUCGAGAGCCCGAAAAGUUUGCUGAAGUUGGUUGCUGUAGUAGAGGCUUGCGCUGAUAAUCGCACUCGGAUCGUGGAAUUCGGUUAAUGGGAAAGGAUCGAAGGCCGGUUUCGUCAGAAAAUGCUCGAGGGGAGGAGCGGCGACGACGAUGCGGCCCGCGUUAUCGAGCACCGGCUUCCUUUCCUGCGCUUCUGCUUCCGGCGCGUCGCUCGGAAGCGGCUUGUGGGUCGACGGGUCGAUCCCGCGCUGCCGGAGCUUCUUCUUGAGGCACGAGUUCCAGUAGUUCUUGAUCUCGUUGUCGGUCCUCCCGGGCAACUGGGACGCGAUCUGAGACCAUCUGAAUACACGAAAGAAACGAAAUUUUACGCCGAACAUGAACGCGAAUUGCGGCAGUGAUCGAGCAGAAGUCAUUGCAGCAAGACUUGCAAACCGGAGCUGAUUGAAUUUUCACCUGUUUCCGAGGAUCUCAUGAAGGGCGAUGAUCGAGUCCUCCUCCUGCUGUGAGAAGCUCCCCCUCUUAAGAUCGGGCCGCAAGUAAUUGAUCCACCUCAGCCUGCAGCUCUUUCCACAUCUUUGUAGACCUGCACUAAUGCAGCAAAGAUUGAAUAAAGAGCACUAGUUAAGUGAGAGAAAGUAUAUGUAUAUAUAUAGUAAGUUUGUAUAUACAUAUAUAUAUAGAGAGAGAGAGAGGUGUAAUAAGUGCCUGCUAAUUUUGGAACAGAGCUCCAACACCCAACACCAUGUCUGAUGAUGUGAUUGUAGAGCUUCUCAUCCUCCUCAGGAGACCACAAGCCCUUCCUCAGCUUCUGCUUGAGACAGCACGAGUGCCGUCCCAUUCUGCGAAGAGAGGACCGAAGCGAAUCGAAUCGAAUCGAAUCGAANGGGGGGGGGAGAGGGGGGAUUUAAUACUCCGCUGGUCGCAACUUGCGCGUUAGAUUAUAUGCCUACAUGAACAUAUAUGCUUGAAAAUGAAGUUAGUUGGAGAGAAAACAUUUACAAUAGAGAGAGAGAGAGAGAGAGAGAUAGAUAAAGAGAGAAAGAGAGAGAGAGAUAUAUAGAAUAGCUAGCUAUAGGAAAGUGAAAACAAUUAAGUAGGUUCUAAGCAAGCACCCUUGGUGUUCUUGCUAUGCAAUGGAUUGGGGUUUAAGUCACCUUUUGUUGUAGCAAAAAGGGCUUAGAAUAUAAUAGUGUAGUGUGAGAGGAGGAGCAAAAACAAUGUGGAUUAUUAUUAUUAUUAUUAUUAUUAUUAUUGUUGUUGUUGUUGUUAUUAUUUGAGUUUGGAGAGAUGGAGGGAAAGAUAUAAAUUAAGAGCUCAUUGGGGUUAGUUGGGGAUAUGACAGUAGAUUUGAUAUACUCAUCAUCAUCAUCAUCAUCAUCAUCAUCAUCAUAAUCUUUCUUAAUGAAGAAUAAUAAUACUCACAAACUAAACUAUGUAUGUUUGUAUCCACCAGUGUGAAAGCAGUGAAAAAGUAGUCUUAGUAUUUGACCAUGUAUGCUAAAUAUGUCUUUCAUGGUGAUCAACCACAAGAAAUCUUAUCAGAUUAAUUUCCUCUCUCUUUCUUUCUUUCUUUUUUUUCUUUGUUUUUGGUACUCAGAUAUAUAUUGUUCGACAGCGCCCUUCAAAGAUUCUUCUCUUGGUAUGAUCUGCCAACCUGAAAACUGAUCUCCCCCUCCCUCUAUAUUUCUGAUGAUGAGGUCGUGCGAUACGACGCGAAAAUAAUGGAAUCCAUUUAAUAUGUAAUGAGGGUCUUCAGUAGGCAUUAUUAAGUCUUGUUUGAUAGCAAUAAGUUUGCUGUUGUAAAGAAUUAAAGAAGGGUCACAUACUAGCUACAAGACAUCACGAUUUGAUGCGAAAAUAAUCGAAUCCUUUUCUGUAGGGUACCCUCAAAAUGCAUUUCGAUAGAUGUAGCAGUACUAAUCGACAACUUAGGAACAUCAAAACUUAUAUAUAUAUGUACAGAUAGAGGAGCAAAAAUUUCUACAAGGCGUAGAUCAACGGUUCGCACCGAGCUAUAUAUAUAUAUAUAUAUAUCUUAAGAUGAGCAAUCAUUUGAUUGAUUUUGUGCACUACCUAGCGAUGCAUCGAUCGCUGUUAUCGCGAUGCGAAAAUGCAUCAAAUGCAUGCACUGCUGAGGGAGAGAUGAGUCGCGCCACCCGACCAAAGCAAAUGGAGAGGGCCCAAUAUUUUUUGACUAAUUAAACAACCAAUUGAUUCAGAGAGAUCUGGUUAGUUUUAAACUCUAUGGUUUAAUUGAAGAACAAGAGCAUUAAUUAAUUAGUACACAUUAUUACAUGAUCCUGCUCAUAUAUAUAUAUGGACAAUAAGCUACAAGUUAAAGAAGCCAUUAUUUGUCACUCAUUUCAUCAUCUCUAUUUUUAAUCAGUCCAAACUAGGGUUUUAAAUGCACCAUCAUCAUCAAUAUCUAAUUAUGAGAGGUGGCAAAGGCGACAAAAUUUAAGUAAAUUAUAUAGAAGGGCCAGGGCCACAAUUUUCUUAAAUUCAAAUACGACUGUCUAAAAAUUCUCGUGCUCUUUAGAAGCUUAAGCGAUUAGAGAUAUGGCAAUCAAAACCAAUUUAUAUUCAACAUGUUGCUUGUAAACUUUUUAAGUAUUAGUUACAGAGAAACAAAUAGGAAUAUAUAUAAUACCCGAGUAAACAUAUUUGCAAAACAGCUGAUUUUAUAUAUAUAUUCUCUAAAAGCCUUAUAAGUUAGUACACUAUGAUGUCGCAAUAUUUUACAUUCGACAUUAAUGGUAAUUAACUUUUUUCUAUCCAAACAUUAUAAAUGACAAAAAAAUUGCUUUUCUUUCUUAUCAAAUCCUUCAGGAGAUAGGGGUUAAAAAGGUCAAUUUAGUUAGAUGAACAUAUACACCAUUGUUGUGGGCUUUAAGAUCUUGCACCCUAAGUGAACUUGACCCUUGACAUGUCUCCAUGGGAAAGGAAACAUCAUAGUGGCUCCUCUUUGAAGUUAUGCAAGCCAAGGGCUAAAAAGUGAGAGAGAGGGUGAGACAUAAAAAAAAAAAAAAAAAAAGAAAAAAAAGAAAAAAAAGAAAAAGGAAUGAUUAAUUAAUAAAACAAUGGCCAAGGACAAUACUAAUUGACUAGGGUCUACUGCAAGACAUGUGAGGCCUACUAGCCUUAAUGCCGUAUAUAUAUCUUACAUGAUUAGUUUGUUUGUUUUGUGUAUGCGCACUGUGGAUCGUAAGCGCUAAUUAAUUAUUUUAAAAAUACAUACCGAUAGAAAUAACGUAUUCAUCGCACUUAAGGGCUCAGCCACAGCGGUCGCGAAUUUCGACGGGACACAAUCCACCUAAACAUUGAGUCUAUUGUUGGACCUCUUGCCGUUAGGUUUUUUGUGAACCACACCCACUCAACUUAUUAGGCUCAUCCCAACUCAACUUAUUAGUCUAGACCUAUUAUUAUUAUUAUUAUUAUUUUGAGAGAAAGGUAUUAUACUAUCCACUUCAUUUAUUUCAUUUAGAAAUAAACUUAGCUAGAAAUGUGAAUUAAUUAAGAUUCGAAUUUGGGUCUCGAGUACCAACCACCAAACUCUUUUAGGCCUAUUAUUAAGGAGCAGAAAGUUGGACAUAUUUUAGUCUAAUAAUAAAAUAGCGAACAUGUGCGUGUGUGUGUGAGAGAGAGAGAGAGAGAGAGAGAGAGCAAACUAUGCACUGCACUAUAUUAUGGGUUAAUUCCUGUUAAAUAUAAUAUAAAAAUAUUUAAAUAAUAUUCUUUAAUAAUUUAAGUUUUUAGAGAAUAACGGUUGUUUCAUAUAAUUUAACAUGAUAUCAGAAUAAUAAAUCCUGAGUUCGAAUCACGACAGGCUCCUAACAUUAUUAAUUUUUUUUCAUGUAAUUCAAAUUCACGUCAUAAACCUACAAAGAGUCUCGAGCAUAGAUAACGAUUGCUUCAGUUCCAUUCAUAACCUAAUUAGGCAACUUUUAGGGCAAAAUAAAAUUUUAAUAAUUUUUUUUAAAAAAAAAAGAAUUAAAUUGCAUUGCUGGCCUAUAUAUGGUUAACUUUCAUCCUCAAAACUGGCAUAUUCAGCAUUCCAAACUUUUACUUAAUUUGGAAGUGCCUUACUUUAGUUUAGUAAGUUUAGAAUGUCAAAUGUGGACUUCAAAAGUUUGAUAAUCAAAGUGGCACUAAUCGGCCAAAAGUCCGGGGAGUUUUGUGCAAUUUAUUAAAUCUUAAGAUUGUAGCUUUCCAGUAGCUCCAUGUACUUUCCUAGGAAAAAUCACUCAAAGGAGAAAAGAAACUUUUCUUUUUGCAACAAAAUAAGCUUACUUUUUUUUUCUCUCUUUGUACUUUUCCAUCUCAAUAAAAAUACUGCAGCUAGGGGGGGCAUCCUUUUUCUUUCUCCAAUAACAAAAUAAAAAGUAUUAAAAAAAAUGGCAUGCAGAGAUUUUUUUUUUUUUUUUUUUUUUUUGCUUUUGAGUUGUGCAUAAAUCAUAUCUUAACUAAAAUUGUGCAAAUACCCUUGUAAAAUAGGUGUUUCUACUUAAUUAUAUCUCUAAAAACAUUGUUUAUUACCAUGUGUACGUGCAAUACUACUUGAUGUGUUAUGCAAAGAGAGUUUUGCAUGUUAGAUUAGUGAAAUCAUGCUUCGGGUCGAUAUCAUAUUAAAAAAGUUGAAAAUUUGAAGUUUCUAAAUGUUAAAUACUGGAACUUAAGUUUGAAUACCGGUUCUAAGAAGUAUCUCAGAAGUUCCUCAAAAUCUAAAACUGUGAAAAAUUGUUUCUUGUAUUGUAUACCGAUAUGUGACUCUGAGCACCGGUACUAAAAUCCUCAGAACCUAAAACUGUGAAAAACUAUUUUUUGUAUACUGGUACGUGACUUUGAGUACUGGUACUGAAAUCCUUAGAACCUAAAACUGUGAAAAACUAUUUUUAUUGUGUACCGGCACGUGACUUUGAGUAUCGGUACUGAAAUCCUCAGAACCUAAAACUGUGAAAAACUAUUUUUUGCGAUUUGAGUUCUAGUACUGAAAUUCUGGGAGAAUUAGCAACAAUACUCCAAACUAAGUACCUAGUACUCAACUUCGCGAGAGUCUGAAUAUAUUGGAUUUGACUCCAAUUUGAUUCAGUUUUGUUCCUUAAGAUUAGGGAUGGUUCAGGCUUUGGAGAGAAAUUUUAAGAGGAGAUCGACAGUUAGAAGUAAAUCAGGGACUCAGUUGGAUGGCGGAGAUAGUUUCCUAUUAUAAUUAGGGUUUUAUAGUUAUAAACUCUUCUAAUUAAUUCAUGUUUUAAAGUUUAGAGUCUCAUUUUUGGAGGUUUCUCGGAUAGAGAACUUUAUUAUAGACACCCUACUUGACAGAAAAAUAUGUUGUAAUCGAAUAUUUCUCUCUGUAUUUUUGUGCCGAGAUUUAAUUGAAGAUCGUAUUGAGGUGGUCUUACUUGUGGACAUGUGUCUACACAUUGUCAGCUGAACCAUAUAAACUCUAUGUUCUUGUGUUCUCUUGUUCAUUUUAUUAUUUUGUUAUUUUCAUACUUAUUUUCACGGUCGUUCUUGUCUAUUUUCAUCUACAAAAGAUCAUGUUUCCGGUCCUCUCGUGUAUCGUGUGGGUUUGAGAUGUGCUUGCUAAUUCCUCGGUCGGUUUCCUUCAUUGCAUAGUAACUACCUUGCAUAGAAAGAUUCUUAGAGAAAUGCACUCAAAUGAUAAUUUUACAACAAUGUAAUACAAUUUAACAUAUUUUUGGAUUAUAUAUAUGUAGAGUUGAUCUAAAUAGUUUUAAAAGCAUUACUAUCCGCGCGCACACAUCUAAUUUUUUGUCACGCCUCGGGACCCAGCGGAAGCCCGCCCGGCGCGUGUCCAGACCCGCCAUAUGUCUAAAACAUACAAGGCGUUUAAAACAAAACGAUAAAUAAAGCAAUAAAAAGAACAUCUAGACGCAUCAUAGCAAGAUAUAUCUAGAAGCUACAAUAAGGGUAAGAAAUAUAAAAGUAAAUCCACUAAGUAAAAAUAUAAAGUGAAUACAAUAGGAAUCCCAAUACAAAAACUAAACAAGCACAUAGGUGGUCUCUCUAUACAUGGUACUCAAAAUCUCUCUCUCUCUCUAAUACAAUAAAAGAAAGAGUAAACCACCUAAGCUCAAAAAUAGCUCCCCGCUAACUAGCUACGCGACUCUCUUGCCGCGAUCCCGUGCCUCCGCCGGUGCCGAAGGCUCUGAAAUAAAACCAUAAAACAGGGAGCGUGAGAACUAUUGAAUAAUAGUUCCCAGUGGGCAAUUACUGGCUUCAGUGAAAUGCACCACUAGGCCCAAACUAAAAAGGGGUCAGUAAGCAGAUAUAGACAAAAACGAUAUGUACGACAAGUAACUAAGCAUGAAUAUUGCUACCACAUGAUAUCUCUACUUAGCAGGAUUUAGCAUAAGUAAGAAAAAUAAUUCUCAUAAGAAUGUACCCAAGCAUCGCUAGUAUGAUGUCCGUAAGUCAAAUAGUAAAGGUAUUAUUGUUUACUAUUCUAAUCAAUAUUCACAUGGCAUGAUGAAUGCUCAAAAUCAAAUCUGAAGAGACCCGCCUGAAGGCUGUCUGGCCCUGAGACCCACCCGUAGGCUGUCUGGCCAGUGCCGAGCCUAAUGGCCCCGUAGUAGUCAACAACCCCACUCUAGGAAUGAGGCAUUCCUACGGCAAUUCACUUCGGCGCCCAAUACCGCACAGCAAAUAAGUAUCACGAUGGCCAUCUCCGGAGUGCCGGCUUGUAGAGAGCGACCCUCACAAGCAUGUGCGAAUGAGCACAAUGGCAAGUAACAAAAGAUCCGUCUCAAGUACUAAGUCCUCAUGUCUAACAACAUGGAAUAUGUCACAACUCUCUCAUAGGCCUAUCUCUAUGUCAUCAUGUCUAAAACAUGAAAAAUAGUAGAUAUCCAUGACCUAUCUCUAAGUCUCAAUACAAUAGUCUCAUAGUUUGCUAGUCCAAGUUCCCCUUUAUGACACUUUCAUUUACUAAGUCCAAGCUUAACCCAAAUGUUCAUAAAUGCAUUAAUUGAGUCACUUUAAACAUAUGAAGCAUAUUUUCAAACGACUAGUGCGAACACUACCCAAUGCAUGUAACAAUACCUAGAAUGCUUUACUAUAUAGAGUGAAAAAUUUUUUGUACAUAACACAUGCAUUUUAAGUGUUCUAAAAUUCACAUAAAUUUUAUUAAGCAUAGAAUUGCAUUUAAAAUGACGUUACGACGAGUGUAGAAAGCACGGGAGCCAUUUCGCCUCGUUUUCAUGAAGCCAAACCCACCAAAAAUCAAAACUCUUCGUUUCGCCGAACGGAGGUGUCCACUAGUCUCCUAGCACUCUAAAGAUGUAGGAACAAGAGUUACACAAUCGAAACAAAUAUCGAAAAGCUCAAUCUUUAACCAUCUAAGCAUAGAGGGUAUAACUCACCUCUUGUGAUGAAAUUCCUUCUCAAGCUUCCAAAGAAAGCAAGAACCCUUCCAACCCAACCUACAGGAAGGUUCUAAACCCAUCAAUUAGGUCUCCAAGCUUUCAAAUCAAAAAUCUCCAAAAUAAACCCUAAAUCUCAUUUCUAGGGUUUCAUAUGGUAAAACCUACCAAAACAUGGAUCAAAGGCUAGAAUCAAGGUACUAACCUCUCUAGAUGCCCCAAAACAAGCUCCAAAUCUUCUAGGGUUGAAGAUUGAUCCUCCACAAGGUCCCAAUAGCAAGCCCCAAGCCUCCAAGGUGAGAAAUGAGGUUGAGGAAGAUGCUCCAAGGCCUCUAAGCUAGCUCUCCUCCAACUCCUUCUUCUUCUCUCUCUAGAGUGAAAGUGAGGGAGAGAAAUGAGGGAGUGAGAGAGUGGAAAUGACCUUAAGGCCCUUAGAAGCAACAAAAUCUAUAUAAGUCCCUCAAAAAAACACCCUGUGCACUGCCCGGGUCUGGGCAGUUUUCGGACUGAGGGAUCGGUCUCCCCGACCUGGGACCGGUCUCUCAGCCUGCCCCGAAAAUCCAACGUUCGGGAACCGGUCUCUCCCCGCAUGGGACCGGUCUCUCCCCGCGUAAUCGUGCUCGGGGACCGGUCUCACCCCCCAGGGACCGGUUGCCUCAAGUCUUGCCGCAGCACUGUUCUGAGAGGACCGGUCUCUCGAAUCACGAACGGUCCUCGAGAGUGAAAACUUUCAGGACUUGCCAAAACUCUAAAGAUUGAACUUUUAGGCCGGAAUUCCAUCUACGACCUUCCACUAAGUGUGGAAAAGUUCGGAAUACAACCAAACACUCGAACCUUGCAAUUUGCAAAGGUCCAGUGUGCUAUAUUUUUCCACCCUUUGAACGACUACUAUUCCACCUGGUCCCACUAAACCACAAGCAUGGAAGAGCUAAAAAGGUUGGAAACAAGCAAAUAGUGAUACUUUUAUAAAGUAUCCUAGCAUAUAUAUAUAGGCUAAUGCUACUAUCCUAUUAAUAGGAUAGGAGCACUUGUCCUAUCAAGUUGUUCUUGAUGAUUGAGAUUCCGAAUUAAUGAUCGGAGCCAUUGAAGUUGAUCUAGAGUAUUUGAAAUAUCUAGAAACUAAAUUUCAUAAAUUUUGAUAAUGGUUUACAUGGUGAUCAAAGUGUCGUAAAAUUGACAAUUUUUGAUGGCCUAUAUGAGCCGUUUGCUUGUUUAACGGUGUAGAGCAAUCCAAAUUACUUGAAUUUUUGAUAGAAAAUUUUUUAUACUAUUUAGAUAAAGUUUGAUAACUCUGAUUACGAACUGAGAAAGUCUAACCUCUAUUUUAAGAAGGUUAUUCAUUUAUGACCGUUCAUUUUUCAACUCUUAAGAUGAACUUGAUAAUGAUUUUUAAAUANGCUACCAAGUUUUUGGCAAUUGGAAUAAGAGAUGUGCGGUUAGGAUGCAUGAUGUGGGCCUCCUGAGGUUGAGUCGGUGGUUGGUUGAAUAGUAUGAUCUAACGAGUGAAAAUGAUCAAAAAGGUAGAUCUAAUGGCGGAAAACUUGGUAGCACCAAGUGCUUCGUGCUAUUAAUAGCAUAGUAGCCGGACUCAUAUAUAGAACUAGGCUACUAUGCUAUUAAUAGCACAAAGUCAUUGGUGUUACCAAGUUUUUGGCCAUUGGAAUAAGAGAUGUGCGGUUAGGAUGAUAUGGGCCCCCUAGGGUUGAGUGGGUGGUUGGUUGAAUAGUCUGAUCUAACGGGUGAAAAUGAUCAAAUGGGUAGAUCUAAUGGUGGAAAACUUGGUAGCACCAAGUGCGUCGUACUAUUAAUAGCAUAGUAGCCGGACUCUAUAUAUAUAUAUAUAUGAGCUAGGCUGGUAUACUAUCGGUAGCACGAAGGCCUCCAUGCUAUAAAAUUAUUUUUAAUGAUGUGACUUCCAAAUCGAUUAUCAGCUCCGUUAAACUGGAUCUACACUAUUGACAGUAUUUGGACACUAAAUUUCAUAGUUUUUUUACAUCAUUUACCUAUCAAACUUGUAGUUUAAAAAUAAACAGCUAAAAAUAAAAAUCUAAAAAAUGAUAAUAAAAGACUUGAAUUUAAGACCAAAAGUAAUGAUCUUAUUCUAAAUAGUGAAAAAAAUUUUCUAUAAAAAUUUCAUCAGAUUUGAAUUAUUUUACACCGUUAAAUUCACAAACGCAUCACAUCAAUCAAUAAAAUUAUCAAUUUUGAGACCUUUUGAUCAAUAGCCAAAUAAUGUUGAAAAAUUAUGAAAUUUAGUUUCGAGAUACUUUCAAUAGUGUAGAUUAAGUCUAACGGAGCCGAUUGUCGAUUUGGAAGUCACAUCAUUGAAAACAACUUGGUAGCACGGAGGCCUCCGUACUACCGAUAGUAUACCAGCCUCUCUCUCUCUCUCUCUCUCUCUCUCUCUCUAUAUAUAUAUAUAUAUAUAUAUAUAUAUAUAUAUAUAUAUAUAUAUAGUUGAACUGGAAUACUAUCGGUAGUAAACGGGCUCUAUUGCCAUCCAUUUGUUUUCGAUAAUGGAGCCUCCAAAUUGACCAUCGGCACCGUUGUAAAUGAUCUAUACCACUUGAAAUAUCUAGAAAUCAAAUUUUAUGCUUUUUCGAUAUUAUUCUCUUGUCUAUCAAGUGAGCAUAAAAAUAAACGGCUGAAAAUGAAUAUCCUCUAAAAAGUGAUUGUAGGAAUUUCGUAAUCAAGAUCGAGAGUAUAGAUCUUGUUCUAAAUAGUUUAAAGAAUUUUCUAACCAAAAUUCAGUUGAUUUGGAUAGCUUUACACUGUUAAACGAGAAAACGCCUCAUAUCUACCAUUAAAAUUACAAAUUUUGAAACCCUUUGAUCAUUAGGUCCAUGAUGUCGAAAAGAUUUGAACUUUGGUUUCUAGAUACCUCGAGUGGUAUAGAUCAUGUUCAACAGUGCCGAUCGUCGAUUUAAAGGCUCCAUCAUUGAAAACAAAUGGGUGGUAACAAAGCCCGUUUGUCAUCGAUAACAUUCCAGGUCAACUCUCUCUCUCUAUAUAUAUGGCUAGAUUACAGAAAACCCCCCCUGUCAAAACCCAAUUUUUCACUUUCUCUCCCUGUCAUUUAAAAACCUACACUUUGCCCUCUUAUAAAAUAAAAAAUGUGCACUUCACUCUCUACUGUUAGUGAUCCUUUAGGGUUCAGUUAUAAAAUUUUUUUAUGCUAAAAAUACCCCUUCGCUCUCUUCCCUGUUGUUUUGCUUUCCGCCCCCUCGCCGCCUCGCCCUCCUCCACUGCCUCGCCCUCCCCCUUCCCCUUGUCCACAUCUCCGUCUAUGCCCACAAACACCCCUUCGCCCUUUUCCGCCGCCUCGCCUUCGCCCUUGUUGCCCUUGCCUACCUCUCCAUCCAGGCCCACCUCGAUUUUCUCCCUACUGUUGCCGAAAUCGAGGGGCGGCGAGGGUGCAGGAGGAGAAGGAGAGCAGGUAGAGAAGAAAAUGGAGAGAAACUGCGGUUGAUCGAGGCGUGAACCGUGGUCGAUCGAGGCUGCGGUUGAGGAAGAUGAGGGGGGAGACGAAAAUGGUGAUGGGCAAAAUGGUCAUUUUAUCAUCACAGUACACACCGUACCCCCCCCUGUGAAUAUUUUUCAUUUUACAAGGAUGCAAAGUGUAGGUUUUUAAAUGACGGGAAGAAAGUGAAAAAUCGGAUUUUGACAGGGGGUUUUAUGUAAUUUAGCCUAUAUAUAUAUAUAUAUAUAGAGAGAGAGAGAGAGAGAAGGAGAAAGAGAGAGUCCGGCUACUAUACUAUCGAUAGUACCAAGCCAUUGGUAUUAUUGAGUUUUCUACUGUUAGAUCUACCCUUUGAUCAUUUCCACCCGUUAGAUUAUACUAUUAAACCAACCACCCACUCAACCCUAGGAGACUACUAUCAAUUUAACCGGGGACCAAUAUCAUCCUAACCGCACGUCCUUUUAUCCAACGGCCGAAAACUUAAUAGUAUCAAGGGCCUGAUACGAUUGAUAGUAUAGUAGCAUAAUUCUAUAUAUAUAUAUAGGGGCAAUUGCUUAUAUACCCCUGAAAAGUUUCCGACUUUCUGAUUUACCCCUCUUAGAAGGCUAAUAUUGAAAAUAUCCCUCCUACGUUCCAACAUAUUUCUAAUAUACCCUUAGAGUUAAAAUCUAUUAAGUAACUCUGUUAUCUCUAUAAAAUUACUAUUUUGCCCUUUCAAAUACACCCUUCUACCAUCAUUGUCUUUCUUAUUUGCGCUUAAAGUCAGGGGCACAAAAAGUGUUUUAACUUUUGGUCUCUUCCAAUAUACCCCCCUACCGUCACGAACGUUUCUUAUUUGCCCUUAAGUUGAGGACAAAAUUGGCAUUUUACUUUUUUUUAACUAUGGUAGAUAUUUAACUCACGUUUAACCCAGGUUAACUUAACAGGAGAUAACUACGGGGGUAUUUUGCAAUAACGGUGGAACAUAUGAGUGGUAUUUUAGAAAGAAAAAAAAAAGUAGGGUAAAUCGGAUAUUUCCAAACGUAUGAGGGGUAUAUAGGCAAUUAUCCCAUAUAUAUAUAUAUAUGUACGUAUAUAUGCAUAUGCAUAUAUAUAUAUGUACGUAUGUAUAUAUAUGUAUGUGUGUAUAUAUAUAUAUUUAUAGGUAUAUGUAUAUAUAGAGCCUGGCUACUAUGCUACAAUAGCACCAAGCAGUUGGUACUACAAAGUUUUCCGCCGUUAAAUCUAUCCUUUUGACUAUUUCCACCCAUUAGAUCAUACUAAUCAACCACCUAUUCAACCCUAGGUCCACUAUUAUUCUAACCGCACAUCCAUUCAUCCAAGAGCCCAAAACCUAAUAGCACCAAUGACUUGGUGCUAUUAAUAGUAUAGUAGCUUAGUUCUGUAUAUAUAUGUCUAUAUAUAUGUAUGCAUACAUACAUACAUACACAUAUAAAUAUAUAUAUUAAUAGCGAUAAUUGCCUAUAUACCCCUCAUACGCUCAGAUAUAUCCGAUCUACCCCUGUUUUUUUUUUUCUUUCUAAAAUGCCUCUCAUAUGUUCCACCGUUAUUCUAAAAUACNNNNNNNNNNNNNNUCUAGAGAGAGAGAGAGAGAGAGAGAGAGAUCGACUGGGCUACUAUCGGUAGUAAAUGGCUCGAUUUACUACCGAUUUGUUUUUAAUGAUAGAGCUUCCAAAUCGAUGAUCGGCACCUUUGAACAUGAUCUAGACCAUUUGAAUUAUGUAGAAACCAAAUUUCAUAAUUUUUUAACAUCACUAACUGAACGAUCAAAGGGUCACAAAAUCUGUAAUUUUAAUGGCUGAUAUGGUACGUUUGCUUGUUUAACAGUACAGAACAGUUCAAAUCAACUAAAUUUUUGUUAGAAAAUUUUUUAAACUAUUUAAUACAAGAUCUAGACUCUAAAUCUUAAAUACAAAAAUUAUAUCAUCACUUUUGAAAGGAUUUUCAUCUUCAGCCAUUUAUUUUUCUGUUCACCUGAUGGACUAAAGAACAAUAUCAAAAAUGCGUGAAAUUUGAUUUUCAAAUAGUUUAAAUUGUUUAGAUCAUGUUUAAUGGUGCCAAUCGUCAAUUUGGAAGCUCUAUCAUCGAAAACAAAUCAGUAGUAAAGCGAGCCGUUUACUAUCGGUAGUAUUCUAGCAAAACUCUCUCUCUCUCUCUCUCUCUAGCAAAAAAAAUCGGUAGUAAAGUGAGCCGUUUAUUAUCGAUAGAAUACCGACGGUAUUCUAGUAAAAUUUGAUUUCCAAAUAGUUUAAAUGGUUUAUAUCAUGUUUAACGGUGCCGAUCGUCAAUUUGGAAGCUCUAUCAUCGAAAACAAAUCAGUAGUAAACUAUAGUGGGAAGGAGUACGGAUCUGUAGCUGUUCGCGGUGAAGGCAAUAAAUAGGCCGAUUUGUGGUAGAUAUAGUUAUACGGCAUAGGGAGGGGCAACGUUUUCCAGGAAGGCGUCGGUUGAGAACCGUACGGAUCCGCGGUGGCAUUAAAUUUCCAGAUCAUCGGAGAGGGCAAGCGGUGGCCCCGCGGUGGAGAGUAAGAACCCUAGGCAAAUAGGGUUCCGGGACGGGGAGCAGGGAGCAAGAGAGAGAAAGAGAGAGAGAGAGAGAGAGAGAGAGAGAGAGAGAGAGAGAGAGAGAGAGGAGAAGAUUAGGCGGUCGAGUAGCGGAGAGUACAAACCCUAGGCAAAUAAUGCACACCACAAAAGGGAGAGUAGUUUCCUCAAUUUAGCUUCUAAUUAGAUAUGGUCAUAUUAGUAUUAUUAUUAUUAUUAUGUAUUCUCAAAAAUUGGCCUGUUAUUGUGUAGUCCAACAUCCUCAUUGAUUAGCAAUUGACCUUGAUUUGUCUAUGCUUAAUUAAUUAAUGAAUAAAAAGAUGCCUCCCCAAGUCUAAGUUUCGAUCAUUAAAAGUAGAAUUAGUUACAUGAGAGGUGUAAAGUUAAAACAAAAGAAACACUAAUGAUCUCAUGACACAUGAGGAAAUAUACAAAUGUUAGGUUUUUUUUUUAAAAAAAAAAACCCAUUAGUUGUUCUCCAUUAAGGACUUAAUCCUUAUAUGCAUGAGUAGAAUUAUUGUAAUGACCACCAUUAAAGAUCAUAUUGGAGCUCCCAUUUAUUGUGUAAUAAUAAUUAUUAUUAGGCAAAAAUGUAUAAAGAACCCCCUUAACUUAAUGUAACAUUGAAAUGGCCUCUUCAACUUUAUUAUUUUUUUUUUUCCAUUGAUCGACUUUUUACUUUUUGAAAUUAGGCAAUUUCAGUUGAAUGAAUAAGAAUUAGAAUAUAAUGGCUUUCCCUAAAAUCAUCUUCAUAACUAUAAUCCACUUGCAAAUAAAUAAAUAUUUUUUUUAACAAUUAUCAGGAUAUUCCAUAUCCAUUUGAGGUGUUUAAUUUGUUCCCAUGCAAGUGGGAAAGGUCAUUUUAGGGAAAGCCACUAUAAUUUGUUUUUUUAAAAAAAAUAGUGUAGAAAAAGUUGUGAUACUUUUAAUAUUAAAUUAAUUUUUGUAAUUGUGAAUCAAACCUAAUAAGGGACUUCAUAGGAGCAAAGAUAUUUACGCCUUUUACUAUUUUUUUUUUCUGCUUUUAUACAAAGAAAAUAAUAUGAUUUUUAAAUUGCAUCAAAAGUAUCCCGUUGAAACGAAAGUUUCCUUAAAUAUUAGAUGUGCCUCGAAAUUUAAUUAUCGAGUUUUAUUUUAUGUCCCGAUUCGUCAAAAGUUUCACGAUGCAACAAAUUUUGGAAAACGGUUUAUAAAGAAAAAAGGAAAAAUCUGUGUGGAAGCAGAGGGCUCGACCCAAUAGGAUUGGAUCAGAUGCGAAGAAAUUUGUUAAAAAAAAAAAUUCUUUUUAUCCUAGAAGCGUUACAGUGUAUUAUACUUUCUACAAUAUUAUACUUUUUUCGUAUAGUGAAGUUCUCUCCUGCUUCGUUCAUAACUUUCUUUUUUAACCGACCAUCCCUAGAGCAAGUGACAAAGGGCUUGGUGGUUGGUAUCCGAGACCCAAGUUCGAAUCCUAGUUGAUUCACAUUUCCAGCUAAGUUUAUUUCUAAAUGAAAGAAACGAAGCGGGUAGCGUGCUACCGAUCUCUCAAAAAAAAAAAAAAAAAAUUUCAUGUAAAUCUUUGUAUCCUAUCUUCUUAUAUGUACUGCUUGUGGUUUGUCUAUUUUAUUAUUGCCAUUUUUCAUUUCUAUUUAUGUACUCUUCAUCGUAACAUUAAAGAUAAAUACUAUAACGAACUUACUUGGUUAAUUCCCAAUUUAUUUUAUGGCUAUUUUUAAUUGUUUUCUAUCAAAUCAAUCUUUGGUAUCACAUGAUACUAUUAACCACUCCGAAAACGCCUCAUUUAUCCUCUUUUUAGUGCAUAUAUAAUUAUAUAUAGUUCGUUUGAUCACCAUAAUAUGCACAAUCGAAAAUAUAUUUAUGAGACAUUUUUUAAUAGAUUAAUUUUCUAGAACAAAUUAUAUAGAUGUUCUAACAUAUAAUUAAGCAAUUUAAAUGACUAGCAGUUUAAUUAGAGUGUUCAAAGCAUUAAUUUCUCUUGUCGGUUUAUUAGUAGGGCAAUAGCGUUAUGACAAAAGCCAACAACUUAACUCUAAGUCAUCACAGUAUGAAAGCAUCAAAGAGAAUCAUGCAAGAUGUAGAAAAAAUAUAUACAAUUAAUAAAGCAUAUAUAUAUAUAGAUAAUAAUUUACAUAAUUUGUCGACGGACCUAUAUAAAUCUACCGACUAAGACAGAUUGGAACUUUUAUUAUCAUCGAAAGUGAAGUACAAAAGGUGCCUCUUUUUAGAAUAUCUAAAUUGAAAAUACACUCAAGGCAACAAAAAUCCACGAAAUAAGAAUUUCAUUUAUAUAACUAGCUGAAUUCUAAUAACAUUAUAAUAGUUUCGAUUUUAGACUAGAAAUAAUUUGAGCAUCACUCAAAUCAAAUAGAGAAAACUAGCCGGUUAGUUGUAUAUAUGUCGUUGCAUAUAUGGUAUUGCAAUUCAUCCGUGAUAAUUACUAUGAAAAUCCUAAUAUAGAGCCUUGGAGUGUUGUAUUUGAGUUCAACCACGUACUAUAGUUGAAACUGUAUCCAAAUUAGCUACAGCUUCAGCCUCAAGAGCUAGAGCUGGCAAAUAAUUCGUUCAUCUAAUUUAAAGAGAAAAAAAAGACGUACAUCUUCACGCUAACAAAAGCAGAAUUGAAGAUAAAUGCAAUGUCUACAACUCAAAAGGGUGUUAAGUCCUGCUAGCUACAACCCUUCAUUAGUAGGGCUAAGCCAACUCAUUUUAGUAUAAUGCACAAAACAGUUUUUCUUUUAAUUUUUAGAGUAAGGCAGUAUGCUUGGUGUUAUUAAUUUUUUCAUUAUUAAAUCUAUUAUUUUGACUAUAUAUUUUUAUUUCUUAUAGAUUAUACUAUUUGUCAGUUAUCAAUAAAUUCUAAGAAAAAAUAUUAUUAUUUUAACCACAUAAUUUUUUAUCUUUUUUUUUGAGAGAGAUAGGUAGCAUACACGCUACCCACUUCGUUUACUUCAUUUAAAAAUAAACUUAGCUGGAAAUGUGAAUCAACUAAGAUUCGAACUUGGAUCUCGAAUACCAAUCAUCAAAUUCUUUGUUACUUGCUCCAGAAACGAUCGGCUAUAAUACAGAAUUUUGAAUAUAAACUAUAUUAUUCUAGAUUUAUCCAAUUACCAAACAGUACUUUAGGAUCAUGAAUGACUUCGUGCUCCUGUAAUAAAUGUAACAAACAUAUGUGUUAAAAAAAUAAAACACAAAUGUUGUCGGAGAUCUCCACCUUUUUGACGUGCAGGAUACUAGUGGGCCCUACUUGGAUGAUGUGACGUCAUCAUUGGGGCUUUGACCAACAACAAAGUGUCGGCACGAGAGCAUGAAGAGGAGAGAGAGCGAGAGAGUGCGUGUAGAGCGAGAAAGAGAGGAUGCAAAUAAAAAUAGUAAUAAUAAUAAUAAUAAUAAUAAAGAGAAUCUCACACUAACCUUUUUACUGGAUCGUGUUAAUGGAGAAAAUAUAAUUAUAAUUUGCUUCCACUACAUGUGAAAACUACGUACUAACGACUUCUCCUUUUCUUUUUUUUUUCUUUUUUUUUUAUUUUAUUUGUGAUCGAAGGGCUAGUAUUCUAUGUUUUAGAGGCUUUUUUUAAUUAUUUACUACAACUUCUACGUAUAUACUUACUUUAUUGUAUGUAUCUGCUGCGAGCCGAAAUUCGUACCCCUUAAUCCGAUCAAGGAUUUUUCUAGAGAAGGGUGCAGAAAUGUGAAACGGCUACACGUGAAGGGAUAUGCGGUUAGAAUGAUAUUGGUCUCCGGCUAGGAUGAUAGUAAUCCCCUAGGAUUGAGUGGAUGGUUAGUUGAAUAUUAUAAUCUGACAGGUGAAAAUGGUCAAAAGGAUAGUCUAACGCCCGAAAACUUAUAAGUACAAAAGGAUCUAUACUCUUUAAGAGUAUAGUAACUGGAUUCUGUAUAUAUAUAUAUAUAUAUAUAUAUAUAUAUAUAUAUAUAUAUAUAUAUAGUCCGGCUGGAAUACUAUCGAUAGCACCAAGGACUUGAUGCUAUCGAGUUUUUCACCGCUAGAUUUAAUUCUUUGAUUAUUUUUAUCCGUUAGAUUAUACUAUUCAACCAACCACCCACUCAACCUUAGGGGACCCACAUCAUCCUAACGGCACAUUUCUCAAUCCAAUGGCUAAAAACUAAUAGCACCAAUAGCUUGGUGCUAUUGAUAGUAUUUCAGCCUAGUUCUCUCUCUCUCUCUCUCUCUCUCUCUCUCUCUCUCUCUAUAUAUAUAUAUAUAUAUAUAUAACUUGUGUACUUCUAAAAGCGCAUGGUAGGCUCCGUGUUAUCAAAAUAUACUCAUUUUCGAUAUUGAAACUUCUGAAUCGACGAUCUGCCCCACUAGACUAGAUCUAAAGUAUUGAAAGUAUCUAGAAAAUAACUUUAAUAUUUUUUUUUGUAUCAUUUACCUAGUGAUCGCAAGAGUUCAAAAUCAACGGCCAAAAAUAACAAUAUCACAAAAACUAAUGAUAUGAUGUUAAAAUUUUAGAUAAAAAAUAUUAAUCUUGUUUUAUAUAGUAUAAAAAAAUUUUAUCAAAAUUUCAUAAGAUUUGAAUAUUUCUAUACUAUUAAAUUUCUAAAUUACCAACCACGACCAUUAAAGUUGUUAAUUUUAGACCCCCCUCAUUCACAAGUUAAACGAUAUCAAUUCUAGGCAUUUCAAAUAUUCUAGAUCAAGUAUGACGGAACUGACCAUCAAUCCAGAAGUCCUAUCAUCAAAAAUGACUUGAUAGCAUGGACGACGUCUUCAUGCUUUAAAAGCACUCCAUGUGAGAUCCCACGUAGUCCUAUCGGUGCCUUUGGUUCAAGUUAUCCUGACAGGAUUACAGGUAAUCCUCUCAGAAUUACUACAUUUGGUUCAUUUGGUAUGUAAUCUGGUCAAUAAUGUAACAUUACAAAUGGUGCAGGAUUACACCGAAAAUAUUACCGAGCGGGGGGGUGUAUCUCGUAUUAUUGAUGGAGAGUUAUCUUGCAUGUUAUAUAAAAUUACAAAUUUAUCCCUCCGAACCCCCAAACCCUUUUAAUACGUCAUUUUUAAAAUUUUAAUUUAAAUUUUUAAAUAGUCAAAUUUUAAAUUUUAAAUUUUAAAAAUUAAAUUUUAAUUUUAAUUUUUAAUUUUUAAUUUUUAAAUUUCAUAUUUCAUAUUUCAUAUUUAUAUUUUAAAUUUUAAAUUUUAAAUUUAUAAAUUUCAUAUUUAUAUUUUAAAUUAAAAUAUUAAAUUAUAUGUUUUUGUUCAAGUUUAAAAUUUAAAAUUUAAAAUUUAAAAUUUAAAAUUUAAAAUUUAAAAUUCAAAUUUAAAUUCAAAUUUUAAUUUAUUUAAAAUAAAAUUUAGUUAAAAAAUUAUUAUUUAUAAACAGUGAAAAUUUUUUGCUAAAUAUGACUAAGGACAAUUUUGGAAUAAAUUAUACUUCGUUGUGAGAAUUACUGAGUUCUAGAAAUUGAACCAAACAUAGUAAUGCUAUAUACACUACGAUACAAAAUUACAUUACUAUACUAUUAUUCCAAACGCGCUAAUAAAACAUCAUUAGUAAUCUCGUUUUAGAAAUCUAAGAUAACUGGAUAUGUUGAAAUAACCUGUAAUAUUAUUUAACGCGAACGAAACGCGCCCUAUAUAUAAGAUAUAAUAGAACUAAAACUCUUAAUCCGAUUAUAUUAUUUUGGAUGGUGGCUAGACCCAAGAGUUAAGAAAGUUAAGUGUGUUAGGACUAGAGUACGUCGGAUUGUUGGCGUUAACCAUUAAUCCCAAAAUCUCGAGCUGUUAGAAAUACACAACUAAUUCACUUAAAGUGUAUAGAUACCGCGCCCCCGGAUCUCGAUUGUGACUGGGCACAACCAGUCUCACGCCACUUUGAACAUGACUCAGUGCACCCAGCCUCACGUCAUUUCGAACAUGACUCAGCCCAAUAUAGCUUCCCACCAUAGGGCAGGAUGCUGGCACAUUUAAGCCAACAAUCUCCACUCUAAUACCUGCAUACAUUUGCAACAUACAACAAUCGAACCCGUGACCUCUAGCUCUGAUGCCACUUGUCGGAUCGUCGGCGCUAACCAUUAAUCCCAAAAGCUCGGGCUGUUAGAAAUACACAACCAAUUCAGUUAAAGCGUAUAGAUACAGCGUCCACGGGUCUCGAUUGUGACUCGGCACAAACAGCCUCACGCCACUUUGAAUAUGACUCGGCCCACCCAGCCUCAUACAAUUUCAAACAUGAUUCGGCCCAACAUGACCUCCCGCCACGGGGCAGGAUGCUGGCCCAUUUAAGCCAACAGAGUAGUCCUAGGAUGGUUGAUCCCCUAGAAAAUGGGGCGUUACAGUUGGUAUCACAACCAAUUACUAGCCAGGAGUGUGAGAUUACUCUCGACUGAGCCAGGUUAUACAACGGAGAUAGCGAGUUCUCAUACUGAUGACUGUUGUGGGUGGAGCACGGCUCCCCCACAAGAGCAGUUAAGGCUAGCUAGAUGAGUGAUGAGUCUCACAUCGCCUCGUACUCUUGAGUUUAAACCUGAUGAGAACUUUAGAGCUUAAAUGGGGGAGAAUGUGAGACCCCAAAUAGUCCUCUAUAUAAGAUAUAAUAUAGCUAAAACUAUUAAUUCGAUUAUAAUAUUUUAGGUGAUGACUAGAUUCAAGAAAUUAAAAGAGUUAAACGUGCUAGGACUAGAGUAAUUCUAGAAUGGGUGAUUCCUUGGGAAGUGGAGCAUAUCACACUCCAGCCUAGUGUGUGUGUGUGUGUGUGUGUGUGUGUGUGUGUGUGUAUUAAUAGUAUGUGAAUAAUAUUUACUAUUUACUUUUUGACCAUUGGAUGUAUAGGGUUUAGUGAUUGGUUAGUAGAAUAAUAAUGAUCUAAGAAUAGAAAAGUGCAUAGUAACUAUUAUUUAUAUACUAUUAAUAGUAACCAAACUUUGUAUCCAAUGUGAGACUAUGCUUUUGACAUGAGCGAGUUACUACUAGCGUGUGGCAGGGACCCAGUGCAAUCGUACAAAACAAAGCGUGCAUCCACAACUGAUAUGGCACAAUCACAAUUUAUAUAUUAGGUGCGACUACCAUAUGGCACAAACUUGUUCAAUUCACAUGUAAGGCCCGAUUAGCAUGCGGCAGGUAGACGCCACUAAAACGGAAUCACUAUACCGACUAGAAAUUAAGAGUGUAAACCAAACUCUGAUACCAUAUUAAUAGAGCUGAUCAACUACUUUUUAAAAUAUAACAUCCGUACGUAGGAUUUGAAGUAGUACUAUAUAUAAGAUAUAACAGAGCUAAACGUCUUAAAUUCGAUUAUAGUAUUUUGGACGAUAGUUAAGCUCAAAAGGUUAAAAGAGUUAAUCGUAUUAGAAUUAGAGUAGUCAUAAUAUGGGUGACCUUCUAAGUAGUGGGGCGUCAUAGUUGGUAUCAUAGUCAAUCACCAAUCGGAAGAAACGUAUGAUGAGUCUUGGCCGAACUAGGGUCAUACAGCGAGUAAAGCGUGGCCUUGUGGGUGAAGUACAGCUUCUAACAAGAUCGGUUAAGAUUAGUAAGAUAAGUGUUUCCUCAUCAGGUGCUUGUAAAUAUGUUAAGAGCUUGACGAAGACGUCAGGACUUAAAGGAAGAAGAAAUGCGACACCUAGAAUUUAGAAUAGUACCAUAUAUAAUAUAUAAUAGGGCUAAAUGUAUUAAACCUAGCUAUAGUAUUUUGAGUGGUAGUUAGGCCCAAAAGAUUAAGAAGGUUAAGCAUGCUGAAGUUAGAGUAGUCUUAGGAUAAAAUAUAGGGGAUUUAUAUAUGGACUUCUAAGAUAGUACAUUAGACUCUGUUUAUAAUUACAGACAAACUAAUUUAGUUAUUAUAUGGCUUUUGCAAAAUCACUAAAAAUAGAGAAGCACAAAUCUAAAUGCUCUCCACAUCCUUACCAAACACACUCAGGUGUUUCCUCGUGUGUUACUGUAACAGGUUUCUUGGAAAAUACAAAUUGAGAGUAGUCUUAUUCAUAAAAGAUCCUUCUAGACCCUUUCAACAAAGUCCACAUCAAAAUGCAACAUUUUCUCAAAAUUUGGGCAUUACUUAUUCAACAAUACUCUACAUGAUCAUUCCUAAUUUCUUUCUUUAUUGUCACCUCUAUCGUACACAUCUUUUGAUAUUUUUGUUUGGUAAGGAUGCCGACAGAGUUCGCAACUCCUAAAUUAUGUUUGAUUUAAGGUAAAAAUAUAUGAAAUUUAUCUGAAUUAUGAAUUAUGUGACAUUUAAAAGCUGUGAUUUUGAUACACAACUGUUUUUUUAUUUAAUUUGAAUUACUUGAUAUCUCUUUUAUUUUAGAGUUUGGAUGCAUAGUUUUAUUUUGACGGAUUAAUUUGAUUAAAAUAUCAUUUGCAAUUUUCUCCGCGGAAAUUUUUUGCAGCAUGAAAAUCAUCAAAUUAUGUGAAUCAAAGGAAGUAAAAGAUUUAGAUACCAAGAACAAAACUUUCAAAAGUUACAUCAGAUGUAUCAAAAUGUUUUGAAUAUAUAUUAAAAAAAAUUAUCUUAUGCAACUUAAAUUUUUAGAAAAUAACGGUUGUUUCACAUUAUGUAACAUGGUAUCAGAAUAAGAGAUUCUAAAUUUGAAUCCCACCUACAGCAAGAUUACAUGCAAGUAAGCAUCACACUUUUAGUAUUUGGCAGAUCAAAAGUGUGAUCAAAUAUUUAGAAUACAUCCAAACAAAGUCGUCAAAAAGCAACAAUUAAUCAAACCUCGUAUUUACAAUCAUAUGAAAAGACUCUCAUACAUACAAUAUAAAUUAUCACAGAAUAACUUAUUUCGACAUCUAAACAAAAUCACAGCUUAUUUGCUUUCUUUAUACUUAAGUUCUCAUAUAUUGAGGUAGUUAUGAAGAGAGCAUCACACUUUUUUUAGUGAUAAGAAGGUGCAUUGGUACUAAAAAGCACAAGCAAAAAAAAAAAAACUCGAUCUGUAAGUGUUUUCUAGAGGAGGGUCAUUUUCUCAUGGUGCAAAUCAACAACCAAUACACCUAAGGCUUCCUUUUGAAGAAUAAUAGAUGAUGAUCUCCAAUGAUACGUUAAUAUUAAUAACCUAAAGUCUUGUUACACCUUUUCUUUCUUUUUUCCUUUCUUUUUUUUUUUUUUUGAUUCAUCUUUAUAAUCCAUCAAUCCUACAUCUCAUGUCCUUUUCACAAGAGAUGGAUAUGUCCCCUUGUAAAACAAUGCACUUUUCUUUUCGCGGCCCCUGGGGAAAAUGUGUGGAUGGUCCCUAUCAUACUCUACUAUUGCAAUUUGGUUUUUGUGCUUUUCACGCGAUCGCCUAAAUAGCUUAGUUUAUGAAUGUUGAAGAAAACAUAAUUUUUCUUGUAGAAUGACUAAUUCAAUCUUCCACUAUCAUAAAUGAUUCACAUAAUUUUAGUUUAUUCUAUUGAGUAUAAAAUAUUGAAAGUAUUAAGUGUUAAGAUUAAGUUUUUAAAGUAAUUAAUUGUUUCAAAUGAUAUCGGAACAGCGGACUUCCUAGUGUCAUUUAACUUCUUCCUAGUUAAUUUAUGUUAACGUCUUAAGUCUAUAUAUAUAUAUAUAUAUAGAGAGAGAGAGAGAGAGAGAGAGAGAGAGUAUGUCUUCUGUAUUUUUAAAAGUACGGAGCCCUCCGUACUUAUAAAUUAUUUUCGAUGAUAGAACAUCCGAUUCAACGAUCGACUACGUUAACCAUAAUCUAUUCUAUUGGAACUACUUAGAAACCAAAUUUUAUAAUUUUUUGACAUCAUCUACCAAGUGAUCAAAAUGUCUCAAAAUUGAAUAUUUUAACGAUCGAUGUGGCACGUUGUUAAGUUUAAUAGUGUAGAACAAUUCAAAUUAUAUGAAACUUUAAUACAAAAUUUUACUUAAUAACAAGGUUAAUACUUGUGAUUUGAAAUUUGAAUCUUUUAUCAUUAUUUUUUAUGAGAUUUUUAUUUUUAGCCGCUCAUUUAGAGACUAUUCGUUCACUUGGUAAAUAAACUCAAAAAAUUAUGAAAUACAUAGUUCCAAUAACGUAGAUCAUAUCUAACAGAAUCAAUCGCCGAAUCGGAUGCAUGCCUCAUUAUUGAAAAUAACUUACAAGCACGAAGACCUCUGUACUUUCAAAAACAUAGAAGCCUAGCUCUCUCUCUCUCUCUCUCUCUCUCUCUCUAUAUAUAUAUAUAUAUCUCUCUCUCUCUCUCUCUCUCUCUCUCUCUCUCUCUCUCUCUCUCNUUUUAUUUUUAGCCGCUCAUUUUGAGAUUAUUCGUUCACUAGGUAAAUAAACUAAAAAAAUUAUGAAAUACAUAGUUCCAAUAGCGCAGAUCAUAUCUAACAGAAUCAAUCGCCGAAUCGGAUGCAUGCCUCAUUAUUGAAAACAACUUACAAGCACGAAGACCUCUGUACUUUCAAAAAUAUAGAAGCCUAGCUCUCUCUCUCUCUCUCUCUCUCUCUCUCUCUCUCUCUAUAUAUAUAUAUAUAGUCCAACUAUGGUGCUUGUAAAAGCAUCAAACACUUGGUGCUUGUAAAUUUUUUAUCGUUAGAUCUACGUCUUUGAUCAUUUUCAACCGUUAGAUUAUACUAUUCAACCAACUACCCACCCGUUUGGAUUGGAGAUAAGGGGAGGGAUAACCCCUUAUCCCCCGUUUAUACCCAAACGCUAAUUUUUUACCCGAGAAUAGUAGUUCUCGGGUACAUGAAAUAAGCUGGUAUAAUUAUCCCUACCAAUACCUCCAUUUUCUAUAUAUAGCUAUCCACUAUUUUUCUUAUUCCAUAUUAUCUAUCCAAACGUUAUUUUUUUUAUCCCCGGGAACAACCCAAUCACUCAAACGUUAUUUUUCUUAUCCCCAUACUUGUACCUAUCCCUAUAAUAGCUAGUUCUUGCUUAUACCCGAACCAAACGGUACCCUAUAAGGGGUCCACAUCAUCCUAACCACACAUUCCUUAAUCCAAUAUAUGGCCAAAAAUCUAUAAACACCAAUAUCUUGGUACUUUUAAAAGCCUCAAACUCAAAUGUUAGAGAAAGUGACUAAAAUAUUGAGGUUAUCUUAAUUUGUAUUGUUUUACAAUUUCAAACAUGCUAAAAUAUCAUUUUACGCUAUAAGUUUGCUUUUUGUUAAUUUGAUUCACAAUUUCAAACACGACUAAUUGUCAUUUUACAGCAAAAGUCUGGUUUUUUUUUAAUAGCCGGAGACUAAAAGUGCAAUAUAUGUAAAAAUUCAAGAACAAAUUGUUGAAUAUAAAGUAUUUAAACAUUAUUAGCUAAUAGUUUAAAUUUUUAAAAAAUAAUUAUUGUUUUACAUUAUUUAACAUGAUACGAGAACUAGAGAUUUUGAGUAUGAAUUCCAUAAGAUUCCUGGUUUUAUUUAAUAUCCUCCCAUGACUUGGGCUUAUUAGAAUAUCUCGAGCCAUAGCCAGAUAAAUUAAUUGUUAAAUAAUACUAAAAUAUUACUAUCGAACUUAAGCUUUUGGAGAAUAGUAAUUAUUUUACACUAAUUUAUUUAACACAAAUAUUCAAAUUGAAACUAUAUAUAGGGACUAACUAGUUGCCAUAUUUAAAUAGUAAAGGGACCAUCCAUAUAGUUUUAGCCUUUACUUUGCUCUUUUUGCCUAAAUUCUUGCCCUAGCUAGUAGUGGUCCAUAUCACACUACAAGAUCACUAUCCCCAAACAUCAUUUUAACUUCAAUAACAAGAGGAAAUUAAAAGAUCUUCUUGUUUGCACAAGCUAAUAUAUAUAUUUAUUAAUUCUCUCCACUUGCUAUCUAAGAUAUAUACUCAAUGCAUAUGAGCCUCAAACAAGGGUCAAAAGAGAAUUAAGAAUGUGCAAGACAACAAAGAUAGAAGAGUGAUAAUCAAACACUUUAUUUGCUGGUGACAACUCCUUGAUUUGGAUUUCAUAAGCUUGUGGUGAAAAUGACAUUAAUUAGUUUGGCGAAUUACGCGUCGUCGUCAUCAAAUAAUUGUUUUACAUUUGUAUUAAUUCGCUUAACGCAUGCCGACAUGGAUCGUUAUUAGCUUAGUAUGGAGAUUAAAUUGCUGAACAUAUAUAUAUAUAACCAAAAUAUAUGUAUAGUUAAUUUGUCUUGCUUCUUUUUUCUCUAGAUACUUUUGUCACUUAGUAAUUGUUUAUUUUAGUCGAUAGCAAUGCCAAAAAAAGUCAAAUAAAGCAUAUAUAUGAAGUAUAUGUAUAUUGUCCCAUGUUAGAUUUUGGUGUCGCAAAUAGAUUGUGUGUGUGUGUGUGUGUGUGUGUGUGUGUGUAUUUUGUUCAUUAAUUCUAGUGCACAAAAUUUAUAAUGUAGAUAAUAAAACUGAAAUAUUUAAUUUUCAGAGCUUUCAAAGACAUCCUUUUAUAUGCUGAAAUUUGAAGUUGCCUGUUUUUCUGUGGAUCGUUAGCGCUAUGUCGCGGACUUAUGCGAAAUUUUUUUUCGUGCCCGCAUGGCGCUCGUCUUCCUUCACGAAGUGAACAAGUCUGCCUCUCAACUUGCUAAGUUAUAACCUACUCAUCCUAAACUAAGUACAAGAAAGAGAAGAGUUUGAAAAAUGUUGUGUAUUAAUAAAAGUAGAUAUUACAACAGAUUUUCUAAGGAAAGGAAGUGGAGGCCAUAACCUUAUAUAGGUCACUACCUACGCAAGGUACAAAUAAAAAGGUGUCAAGUUGCGCAUAACUAUAAGGCAAAGAGGGAGGCUACAAGCUUCCAAAAGACUACACUUAUUGCUCUCCUAAAACUCUAAAGAAUUUUUGACCCUUCAGCAUCCGCACCAUUAGUUUUGAAACCUGCAUAGAAACUUCUAGAAUGGCCCAGCAAAACUUCCGAUAGAACUCUCCUUCGAUGUUUGGGCGAUUGCAAAGAAAAAAUCAGCGAAAAAUAUUCUGUCCGUAACAGCUAACUAACUAUCCCAAAAGUACGUGCUGAUAGAAGUGUUCAUUGCAUUUAAAGUCUUAGCGACAGUGCUCAGAGACUUCAACCUAGCUCAACCCAUUUGGACGUCAGGUCUAUUAUUGAGACUCUUACUGUUAGGUCUAUUAUGGAGCGCAACCAACUUAUUGGACUUAUUCAACUCAACUUAUUAGCCUUCUGAAUCUAGUGUCAUUGGGCAAAAAGUUGAAUCUAUUUUAACCAAUAAUAAUUGGCCAAUAUUUUCAUGGUCUAAGUAGUAUUUUCUGGACGCUAAAUUGGAUUAUGGUAGACAUUCUUGUUUGCUAGGAGAAAAAAAAAAAAAAAAAAAAAAAGAUGAGAGCAAUAUUUGGUAAAAAAUUGGUCGAUUAUGCAAAUUUUUACGGACAAUAUUUAUUACCUUUAAAAACAUUCCAAAAUGGCCUAAUUAUAAUAAUAUUAGGAGCCCUAUUGUGUAUGAUACAUGAUAUAUCAUAUAAUGCAGUGCAUGUAUUUGUGCACUAAGUCCCUGUUGGCUCUAUUUCUACUUCUGCUUUCGACAACAGUAAUUUUAAUCAACGGAUCAUUCGUCAAACACUAAAAAUCUUAGAUUUUCAUUGCAGUGCGUGGAAAGCACGAAUUCGAUCUUUAGCUCCAAAGCUAAAAUGAAUUUUUAAAAAAUACUCCAAUUUGAUCGAUUUUUUCGAUUUUGCUACAGAAAUAAGUUGGUUGGAGAGCGCUUCUCUUAAUCGCAUUAAUAUUCAUGCUAUAGGAUGACCAAAUAGACCUUUUAACUCUCUUCUUUAAUUUACAGUGAAAUAUAUGGAGUGCAAAUGGCGCAAAAUUAAGUACUUAAGGGCCUAACUAGAACAAGAAUCAAAAUAAUUGAUUCACUCUUUUGUUGUUUGAUUAGGGACCCAAAUUAAGAGCCGAUUCGCGAAUGAGCUAGUUCGUGAUAAAUGGUUAGCUGCGAAAGAAACAUAUGUGAACUACUAUGCGUUUUGGGACGAAAAAUUAAAGUAUGAAAGUUUUAAUUGUGGUAUCUGAACUUUUAAUUUACUUGAUUCGAACCAUAUAAUUUAUGGUGUUUCUAUUACAAAAUUCGAUCCCACUGCUCGAUUUAACAGGAAUACAGUCACAUGAAUCACGCGAGCUGUCAAAUAACUCUAAAUUAAAAUAUUAGCUAGUGAAAUCAAAACUUUUGAGAGUCGAUAUGCGUUUCAAAAUAGGUUACAGUUCAGAUAAGUUUUACAGUAAUUCACCUAAUAAUUAGACUAGUUUGAUGAUAUUAUUCUAGGUUUUGGGUAACUCCACAUCCACUCAAUGGAUGCAUUAUAUUUCCAGGAUUUGGCCCACUUCAAAAUUAGAUCAAUUAUUUGUAGGAUCAUAAAGAGGAUUGGGGUUCUUAUUUUUCACUCCAAUCAAAUCCGUGUGGCCCGAAUAGUAAAAGCCCAUUACAGCCCAAUUAUAUUCUCUGUUUGGCAUUGCGGGAAGAAUCCGUUACCUACGGUGAGAAAUCACAAUGCGCAAAUUUUAUAUUUAUUUUUCAUAAAAGAUGCGACAUUGUUUAAAUCGCAAUAUUUCUUGUACAAUAUAAUUUCUGCAGCCCCACUUGAGAGGAGUGAAGCCUAUUUUUAGAUUCACUACAUGGUCUUGCAUUCUAACUUCUUUUGGCCCAAUAGCGUUCGAUAACUCGACUGGGGAAUUUUGUUUAAGCCCCACCCAUUUGCAAAUUAGACCCAUAAAUUUGGACCUUGGUUAAAAUGUGGUCCAAGAACUAUGUAAGGCCAAUCCAUUAAGUCAUUGUUGUUAUUAUUAUUAUUAUUAUUAUUAUUAUUAUUAUUGGAGAAACUUUAAUUUACCACCUUGUGUUGAUUUACCCUAUUUUUACUUUACCAUUCUAUAAUUUCAUAAAAUAUUAUUUCACCAUCAUGUGGUUUUCUUUUUGUAUCACUAUAAAAACUUCCCUUGAGUGGGUACGAAAAAAACUAUAUUUUAUAAAUUAUAGGAUAAUAGAGUGACAGGUUUUAUAAACCACAAUGUGGCAACACCAAGUACUCCACUUUCUAUUAGAGGCUGCUUGGUUCUUCGAAAAAGCGUAAAUAAAAAAAAAUUCAAGAAAAAAAGUUUUCUAUGGAAAACUUAUUUUUCAAUUUUCCGUCCGUUGGUCAUAAGAAAAACGAGUUUAUUUUGAAGAGUUUCUUUCCAAAUUUUAUGAAAAACUAGCAUCUUCCUUUUCCUGAAAAAAUUAAAAAUAUAUAUAUAUUAAUUUGCCACGAAAUUUGGAAAAUAAAUUUAAAAAAAAACUAGUUUUUCUUAAAAUCAAACGAACGGAAAACUGAAAUAGAGGUUUUCCAUGAAAAACUUUUUGUCUCGAAAAACUUUUUUUUACGCUUUUCUGACAAAUCAAACACCGCCAUCCUAUGACUUGUAAAAUGAAUCACUUUAUAACUAUUCCAUUUAAUGACAGGUCCUUAUGGUAAAAGAAAACCAAAUAUAAAAAUUUUAAAGUCACAUAAUGGCAAAAUAAAAAUGUAUUAAACCCUAAGGGAUCUGAUUGAUGUUUACCAUUUUUUAUCAAAAUAAAAUUUUUCAUAAGAUUUGGAACUUGUAUCACAGAUUGAAUCUGGCCCAAAAGAAUUACCUGAGAGCCCAAUAAGUGAUCGACGAUCGAAUGUAUAUCCAUUUGUUAAAGUGAGGAUCGAAUAUACGACCUCACAAAAUAAAGAGAUAUAAAAUUAAUCUAAUAGGAAUCGGACCCAGGAUUAUAUUGAAUAAUAGUAGGUUUUGCGUGAAUCUCCGUCGAUCGAUUAGCGUAAUUAGGUAAUAACAAUCUAAGAGGGUUUAAUCAUGAGAUUUACUGGACACCUUCAAAGGAAAGAGAUGUAGCAUCAUGAAAGCUUCACACAUAAUCCAAAGCUAAAGCAAAAACAUGUAGCUACUUGUUUAAUGAAUCCAUAUGAAUCCAUUUUGGCGACUAUUAGUGGUAGUAUAUUGAAAACAAUUGAAAGCAGCAGUUUGAAUUCGCCAGUCGUAUGUAUAUGCAAUUGAAGUGUCAAAUUUGCCAAUUAUUAAUAUAAAGGUUAUGGUAAUUUGAGUGAUAAACCAAACACAAAGAUAUAGGAUAUAGUGUUUGGGGGGUCUUGGGUUCGAUACUAAUAACGCUAGUAUAAAAUACUCAAGGCCAGUUAUAAACUCCCCCAGUGGAAUUUUAAUUGAAGAAUUACACUACUUAUAGCCUAAUACUACUAACAAAAUUUGUUCAAAAUGCUUAAGCUCGGUUAUAGACUCCCACUCUGUGACACCUUGCUUUUCAGAAUGGUCUAGUCUUAACAUGCUUAACUCUCUUGAACUCUUGGGCUUAGUUUGGUAACCACCACUUAACUCAUUCUAGUUAUACUUUUGCCUAGGUCAACUUGUUAACGCUACGUAGGUGGGGAGACAACCAUGGGGCAACCCUGUACAUAUGCAGAUUUGUUGACGCUUUCGAAGAAAUGUUUGCUGCAAUUCGGGACGAUUGACGCUUUCAAAGAAAUUUUUGCUGCAAUCUAGGACAUGACACACCAAGUUUAGACCCUGACUUUGCAAGGCGAUAUGAGAUUCUUUUCACAUUUCUAACUAGUAAAUUGACUUUGAUACUAAAUGUAACAACCAAGUCUAUUAGCAUUGGGCUCAAACCAUCGAUUCAAAAUGCUUAAACACAAUCUAGUUAUUAGUAUUAGAGUUUAUGAUCUUUAUAUUUUCAAUCAUAACUCAUUUUUUAUUCGACGUGGGACUGGCGAAAUGAUAAACUAUUUUUACUGUCGGAGACGAAUCUAUUUAUAGUAUAAGGAGAUUCAACUACAGUAAUAGAAGCUUUGCCUAAAUUGAUCGCACUCCAUACUACAGCAAUUAGAGUCGCAGAGAGUAAUUUUUUUUAUUUUCUUUUUCUUUUUAACAUCGGGAGUAAUCUAAUCACGUUAUAUAUAAAGUGGUAAAAUUUUGAAAAAUAUAUACAAUCCCCAACUGCAUGCAACUAAUCAAAUUUCUUGUAGUUGAUGUGCUCUCUACUACACCAAGAGAAGGAAGAUGCAUCUAAUUAUAACUUAUAACUGCUACAUUUUUGUAUCGCCGACCAUACUGUUUUUAUAGUUACGUCCAAACUACUCAGAUAUACGAAAAAAAAAAGAAAAUAUGUGACAUACAGAUAUAUUCAAAAUAAAAAAAUAAAUAAAUCCAAAGGACAAAGAAAAAGAAAAAAAAAAUCUGCAGUGGCACAACCAUGAGCUGAUCACAUCUCUCGCCAUCAUCUUUGUUUCUUAUUUUCAAAAAGAAUUUGGUGGCCAACCUCACCACAAUGACUACUCCACAGAUACAGUGAGCUAAUCAUGAGAUAGGAUCUCAUUAUCUUAAUACCUUUCAUGAAAGCUUCAUUUGUAACCCAAGUGAAAGUACGUACAUACAAAUAUAUAUAUAUAUAUAUAGAUGGUGUUACAUUAAAAAAAAUGAAAAUAAAAACAAAAAGGAGAGAUAGAGAGAGUAAAUAAUGAGUGGUAGAAGCUCUUAUAUGAAAAGAGUAAGCUUUUGCAAAAGAGAAUGGUAGCUCUGAUAUGAAAAGAGUGACUGAGGUAAAUAAUGAAUCGGAUCGAGUUCCAAUCGAACAGAAGUGGCAAUAUGCGAUCUUAUCGACUAACCUAAUUAACUUAGCAUUUUUCUUUAUCAUAUUUCAAAACAUAAUGCAUUAAAUCUAAAUUUUUAAAUAUAACAUUAAAUAUAUGUAUAUAUUAUAUAAUAUAAAAUCAAUUCUAGAGGUUCGUGUCCAAUUCGGGUCGGGGGUACAGACAAAAUCCAUACCCGAAUCUCAAUCUGUAGGGUUUUCAUUUUUUAUAUCCGUAUUUGAAACUAUAUUCGUUUACUAUCAAAUAAAACUGUCCUAUUCGGAUUCAUAUUUGGAUAAAAUUUCAGAUAUUUGCACCCAUUGACAUCCGUAGCCGGAAACUGCUACACAAAAAACCACCUCCUAUACUUUGACUGUUUCUCUGAUCAUUUUUUACCUUAUAUAUAGGAGCUAAUUUGGUUCAUCAGAAAAGUGCGAAUAAAAAAAAUCAAGAAAAAAAUUUCAUAAAAAAUUUCAUUUUUUGAUUUCAUUUUUAAGAAAAAUGAUGAAAACACAAAUUUUCAUAAAAUAUGGGGGGAAAUAAUUCAUGAAAGCUUAUUCUCUUGGAACCAAACUGACAGAAAACUAGAAAAAAAAAUAAUAUUUCAUAAAAACUUUUUUACUUGAAAAUUUUUUUUCCAUAUUUUUUUUGAAAAACCAAAUAGUCUCUUAAUAAUAUUAAAAAAAAAUAACAAAAAAUAAUAAUAAUAAAUUUAAAUAAUGUGGCGGGAACGGUUAGGCCAACGGCUAGUCACGCAUGCAACACCUACACUUGGGGCCGACGCAAAGCAGUUAGAUUCUUGGUCACCAUCCCAACCCCAACCAUUCCUUUCCCUUCAAUUCAAAUCGAUCCCCCAAAACCCCCCCCUAUUCACUUCAAUUUUUAUCAUCAUCUCUUAUAAACAGUUUCCAAUCCAAUUCCCAGUGACCCACAAACCCCAAAAAUUAAGGUGCCCAUGUCGGCGGCGGACGGAAUCGGAGACAUGCAAGGCGGCGGCGGCGGCCUUUUGAUGCGCGCGGCGGCGAGGGCGGCGCGAGCACGGUGGUUCGGGUUCCUGCGGCGGGCCUACGUCUACCAGAACGGGCCGCGGUCGGACGUGCUGGCGGCGUCGAACCCCUUCAACUCCCCCUUCUGGCUGGCCGCCGAGCUGGCGGCCGCCGUCGCGCAGGUCGGCGUCAUCGCGGCCGUGCUGGCGGCCGCGCGGAACGAGAGGCCGCUUUGGCCCGUCAGGCUCUGGGUCGGCGCCUACGCCCUCGCCAACCUUCUCAGCCUCCCUCUCAUAUAUUGGCGGCGCCACCACUCCGCCGCCCCCGCCCCUGUGGAUAUUGAACACCAAGGAAGCAAUGAGGAAGCAGUGUUCAGGUACCUGCGGUCUCAAAUAUUUGAUUCAAAUUUUAAACUUUAAAUAUUAAAUUUGACCUAGACUGGCGUAACACGGAGGGCUUUCGUACUAACAUGUUGUUUUCAAUAAUGCGGCUUUCAAAUUUACAACCGGCUCUAUUAGAUUUGAUCUAUAUUAUUAAAAGUAGUAAAAAAAUUAAAUUUCAUAAUUUUCCGACAUUAUUUGACUAGUAAUCAAAAAGCCUCAAAAUUGAUAAUUUUAAGUAAUGCAUUUGUAUAUUUAAUGGUGUAAAAUAAUUCAAAUCUGAUGAAAAUUUUUAUAAAUUUUUUUUUUACUAUUUAGAGUAAGAUUAGUAUCUCUGAUUUUAAAUUCAAAUCUUCUAUUAUUAUUUUUUAUAAAAUUUUUAUUUUCAGCCGCUUAUUUUGAGACGACUAGGUAAACGGUAUCGAAAAAUUAUAAAAUUUAGUUUCUAAAUACUUUCAAUAGUGUAGAUCAAAUCUAACAAAGUCGAUUGUCAAUUUGGAAAACGCAUUAUUAAAAAUAACUUAAUAGCACAAAGGCCUCCGUGCUAUCGAUAGUAUACCAGCUGAACUCAUUAAAUUUUAAAUUUUAAGUUUCGUCGCACUAUCAUUUUGAUUGUAACAAUAUAGUACCUUUACAUUUUAUUGAGGUGAGUAGCUAGCAUGUCCUUUCUUUUAGGGUUUAGGUAUCUUCAUCAUGGAAAAAAAAUUUAUUGAAAUUACGAAGACGGAACGAAAAGUUAGUUAAUCUUUAAUAGAGAUUUAUGCUUUUUUUAUGAUUGCAAUAAAAUUAUAUUACCUGAGUUUGAGAAAGUACGAUAAAAAAAAAAAUAUUCAAUUUGCUUUAGUAAGUAAGACAUUACACUUAGGGGUGGAACUCGGCCCUUGCCUAAACAAGGCCCGGCCCGAUGGGCCAUGUUUGGGCCGGGCUUUGGAUAUUAUAAAUACAACUUUGGGUUCGGGCCGGGUUUAAAAAUUUAGGCCCGAAAAAAAUUUGGGCCUAUUUGGGCAUGUCCAAGCCCGACCCGAGCCCGACCCAAAAGCCCGAUAUAUUAAUUGUCAAAAUAAAAUAUUUAAUUAUAUAUAUUAUUUAUCUAUAGUAUAUCAUAUAUAGUAUAUAUUGUUAUUAAUGAUAUGUACUUAUAUAUAUGAGGAUAUAUUAUAUAUUAACAAAAUAUUUGGUUCUAUAUAAUGAUAUAUUUGAUGUUAGAUAUUAAUUUCUUUGAUGUGAUAAAACUAAAAAUAGGUAUUUUAUUUUAAUUUUAUACAAAUAAAAGUAUUUAUGUAUUAUAUGAUAAAUACAUAAAAUGAGCCUCCACAAAGCCCGAUGGGUAUUGGGCAUUGGGCUUGGGCUUGGGCCGGGCCUUAAUUUUUUAAAAAAUUGGGUAAAAGCCCGACCCGAAGCCCAAUAUUUUUUUUGGGCCAGGCUUGGGCAUAGUAAUACCCGACCCAAGCCCGGCCCAGUUCCACCCCUAAUUACACUGCACCUGUCAUAACGAGUCAAGUAAAAUAUCAUUUUCAUAAUUCAAUCAAAAUACAGAAACAUAUAUAUAUAUAUAUAUAUAUAUAUAUAUAUAUAUAUAUAUAUAUAUAUAUAUAUAUAUAUGUAUAUGUUUACGCCCAUGUUUCUCCUUAUUUUCAACGUAAUGUUAAACAAUUAUGGACAUAGUUAAUUCGGAUUCGGCAAAAAUUCGAUACGAGUAUAAUACGCAUAAAAUUCGUUUUCUAAUUUUUAAAUUCGUUGAAAAAUUCGGCUUAAAAACCGGAUUCGGUAUAAAAUAUAAAAUAUAAAAUAUAAAAUAUAAAAUAAUCUAUAUUUAAAUAUAAAAAUUAUAGAUUUUUUAUUCAGAUUUUCAAUAAUUCGCGAAUAAUUCGGGCAUGUAUAUAGCAACAAAAAUUCAAUAUUUUUCCUAUUUUUUGCUUUUUUUUUUUUUUUACGUUCAAAUAAACACACUCUACUAGAGACGGCUCCUGAAAGUGUCAGGGCAUGUAUAUACACAGGGGAUCUUCGUCGUACCUCGUAAACAAGUUGCGGACGUUCCUCGAGCUGUUCACGGCGGUGUGGUUCGUCAUGGGCAACGUGUGGGUGUUCGACGCCCGCUACACCGCCUCCGCCUCGUCCUCGUCCUCGUUGCACCUCGGCGGUGCCCCGAUGCUCCACGCCCUCUGCGUCGCCCUCCUCGCCUACAACGCCGUCCUCUACUCCUUCCCCUUGCUGCUGUUUCUGCUGCUGUGCUGCGUCGUGCCGUUCGUUAGUAGCGCCGUCGGAUUCAACAUGAGCUCCGCGGCGGCGUCCGCGGCCCGCGGCGCCUCCGACGAGCAGCUGGAGCAGCUACCAAAGUGGCGGUUCAAAGCAGCUAAUCCUGGGGGUGAUCCUGGGCCCUUGGAGAAUCCUGUAAGUUGAAUAGAGGAUUUUGUUAUAUUUGAACACUAUGUAGAAAAUGUGUAAAAAUUGCGCAAAUACCUUUCCAUUACCACAUUUGUGUUUUUUUGGAUUGGGCCACUUUUUUAUCCAUUAAUUCGGGCCGUGUAGUGCGCGGAGGUGGCCCGAUAUGGUAUGGUUCUGGAUUUGAAUCCGCGUCAUGCUUUCCCGUGCUCAGUCCAAGGCCGGGUCCGAUGAGGGCCGGCCUUUUUUUAAAAACUUUUUAGGGUAAACUUCAAAUACCGUUCAUGUAGUUUCGCGCUUUCUCACUUUAGUAUUCUGUAAUUUGAAGUAUAUCACUAUAUCCAAGCAGGGUCGUGAAUGCAAAUACCAACUCUGCAAAAGUAUUUGAGUAACUUCGCACAUUUACAAAAAAAUAAAAAUAAAAUAAAAAAAAUGUAAAUAUCUAAUUAUUCUGAUGAUGUGUAAUGUAAAAUGAUAGGAGUGCUGCAUAUGUCUGGCCAAGUACAGGGAGAGGGACGAGGUGAGGCAGCUGCCUUGCUCUCAUCUCUUCCACCUCCGAUGCGUCGACCGCUGGCUCCGAAUCAUCUCUUGCUGCCCGCUCUGCAAACUGCAGCUUGAAAAGCAGUAGUCAGACUAAUAUCGAGCACUGAAAAUCAAUUUGAAAGACACCACUAUUAAUUUGUUUUAGGGUUCUUCCCAAAUUUGAGCUUGUUUAUGUGUAUCAACACAGGCAUUUUAAUCUUUACAUUUUUCUUUUUUUUUCUUUUUUUUUGUAAAUGAGUUUUAGUGCUUGCACCAAGGAGGGAAAAAGCACAUGAAUGUAUAUUUAUUUGAAGAAAGAGUUAAAGCUAUAGCAAGUUACAUGUAUAUAUAUAUAUAUAUAUAUAUAUAUAUAUAUAUAUUUUUCACAUUUUUUUUUAGUAAAACAUGUGCAGGAUGUAUAUGUUGUGAUCACUUGAGUAUAGUGUAGUUUUUUCUUUUCUUUUUUUUUCUCCUUUUUUUACUUUUUGUGCUUGCUAUAGAGUGUUUUAAUAAAUCAUUAAUAAACUGUGAUUGGUUAGGAAAAAGCAUGGGAAUUGUGGUGGAAAUUGUGAUACAACGACCACUGUCCACCUCGUCAUUUGCCGUUGAUUGGCAAAUCUCUUUAGGGUGGUACAACACGAACCAGCUUUCGGAGAUCCAUCAAACUAUCAAAAAUUCAAUGUAAAAGAGACGUAAAGUUCAGUGUAAAAAAGAGAGGAAGAAGAAGAAGCCCUUUGCAGAUUUCAAGUAAACCCCAGUUACACCAUUGCACCCGUCACGCCCCGGAUUACCCGUUUUUUCGGGCACGCCAACAAAUCCGCCGUAUACAAAAAAAUUUUUCCUGUAUACGAAACGAUAGCUGUACCUGUACCUGUAAUCAGACAAAACUACAACUAGUAGUAUAGAGCUGCUAAAGAACUGCAUAUAUAUAAAUAACACCUCGAGGCCCGAGGGGUUCCAGUACAUACCACAUGUCUACUACACCACUCGCUCCAGCGAGUACCCAGACAACAACAAUAUGUAUAUAAAUACCCCAAAACUACCUGUAGGAGGUACUCCUCUAACACUACAACAAAGCUGGAAGGGAUCUAACUCGCGACUCCCUUUCCACGAUCUGUAUCAGCAACAGCAACAGCCACCGACGAAGGCUCUGCAAAAAUGGUCAACAACUGGGUGUGAGAACUACUACAAAAGAAGUAGUUCUCAGUGAGUACCGCUACCGACCUCACUGGCUCACCCACUAAGUUUAUAGAAAGUACGCUCACUGACAGUAAAGGAAGCUGAAAAAAACUCUACAGUUAUAUGCCACUAUACUAUCGUUAAUCAACACUAACUAUCUGUAGCUAUAAAGUUGCACUGCCUGACCUAAUCUUACUAGGGACUGUGAACGCACCCGUCCCGCCUGCCGAAGCUACACUAACAACCAUCACGCUCGGUCGUCAGUGGAAAGCGAGUCCAACCAGGACACAACGAUAAAAAUGCAAACGCACAAAGCCCGAUUCCGAAGUGACACUCAUGGGCGCUACCCAACCGAGUAUGCAAGCGUGUCUCUCUCGAGCUCAAUCAGGCUCACAUGGGCUAUAGUCAAAGCAAAUGGGUCUAACUGAUCUAACAACCAAAACUCACGUGCCUUCGGCACAAUCUGAUGCAAGAAACAGAAAUCUGGGUCCACCGUUCACCGAGACGGCACCCGACAGUCCGGAACAGUCUACACGCUACUGUAAAAUAAGCUCGGCAUCCCAGCACGAGCGUAAAUUCAUUCUACACUAUUCUGGAUAUCCACCACAUACAAACUGUAACGAUACUAACAAACUACAGCUCCUAAAGCUAAAUCUGGUAGUUUUCAGAAACUGACAGUGUAGAAGGAAAUCGAGCUAUUAAACAUGAUAUAUGAAACCCAAAAAUACAUGCUGUCAACUGAGACUUAGAAGGAAAUCCGAAAAUUCCGGUAACUUCAACCCAUCUCAAGAGCGCGUCCAACAACGGCGAGAAGUCAAAAUAAGAGGAAGUCCCGCGCUCGCCCGGACUCCAACGGCGCUACCACGACGCAUGCACGCUCGAACGGCUCUCCGGCGCAACGUCAACGUCGAUCCGAGCUCCAACAGUGGUCUCCACCGCUCCAAUCUAGAGAGAGAGAGGAAAUAGCCAACAAAAUCCCACUCUGUGCCUCUCUAUACGUAUAUAAAGCAGUGGAAAGGGGUUGAUAACAACGAGGCAACAAUUGACCAAAAGGCCCCUCACCUACCCUAGAGUACCGGUACCAGGCCAGUGCCGUACCGGUACCCAGCAUUAGCAAUCGCAACUCGAGAGCAGCAAUCGGGAAAAAUUAUACAGGGGUACCGGUACUCUCCUGUAUGGUACCGGUACUCAAUACUGACAAUCUGCAAUUUGCAGAUUUCAGUACUAAAAUCCUAAUCCCGCGUCACACUAAAUCCGUUUUGCAUCUAUUUUGCGCCAAAACGAUUUGGACUUGUCCCAACACUUUCCAGAUGCGUUGAUAAGUCCCAGAUGCUAAAAUCUCAUGGGCAACAAAACAUCUGGGAUACUACAUCACCUCUUCUCUCUUCUAUAUAUAGAUAGAAGACAACGGUCUCAAGUAAGUUGUUGUCCCUUACCGAGGUGCUGGAUAUGAUAUCUUAUCGAGAUAGGGUAAUAUCUGGGCAAAGAGAUCUUACCCAGAUAAGAUAAUGAUUAGGCUUUAAAUACAAAAUCUCAAAAAAUUAAAAUAAAAGAAAAGGAGUAAGUGAACGGAGUAGUCUAGACCGCACACACCGCUCGCCCACCCAACGCAGCUCGUGCAGUGCGUGCGUGUGUUUAAUUGAGAGCAUCACUCUCAUAUUUUUCUAAAUAACUAACUUGAGAAAAAAUGAGUAUAUAAGAUGCAAUCACAAACUUUUAAUUUUUAAUGUUAGACUAAACCACACGUGUAGAAACCUAAGCACCAGCUCCCAGAGAAGGCCCAUAGAAGGUUGGGCCGCCCAGGAAGCCCAUGGACAGAAUUGAAGUUUUAAAUCACCUAUAUUAUAUUAGUGCUAACAUAUACAACUAAACUAAUUAAUUAAUGGUACUGGUGUAGCAUUAUUUGAGCAUAAUUACUUCAUUGUUAGAGGUUCUAAUUAGUGCAUAAGAAUUUAUUAAUUAAUGACACCUCACCAAACUAAUUAAUUAAAGCACCUGUACUUUAAAUUUCGUGGCAUAAAAGUACAUGAUCUUGGGUUAUAAUAUGAGAUCUUAUACACUCUUAUUAAUUAUUAAUUAAUUUUACUAUUGUUUCUAAUGAACAAUCAAUUCCACUUAUCUGUAUCUUUGUAGUAGUACACUGAUAAGGUGUAGUUAUUGUCAUGAUCAAUAGUAUUAAACAAUCUAAAUAUACUUUACCCUUCUAAGUAUAAUAGGUUGUGUACUUAAACUUCUUAGAUGUGAAAAAAUAUUCAUUAAAUUUUUAGAAACUUACGCUACUAGUGUUUAGGGCCUGUUUGGUUUCUUGAAAAGUAUCUCAGAAAAUUUUUUUUGAUUGAAAAUUUUUUUUCCGUAUGUUUGUUCGCAAGAAAAUUAAAUAUUUUUUAACAAUUAUUUUUCAUAUUUCACAGAAAAUUUUUCAUUUUGUUUUCAAAAUUUAUUUUAGGAAAGCAGAAUUUUUUUCUCUCACCACCGUUUUGAAGAAUAAAAAAGGAAAAAAAAUCUAAUUAUUGAUGCCAAAAUAUAAUUAAAAUUUAUUUUUAUUUAAUUAUUUAUUAUUUAUAUUGUAAAUAGUUUGUGAGUAUUAUGUUAAAUUUUAAAAGUAUGAUAAUCUCAUCCUCUUUUUGUAGGAUGUGUUAUGGGUGGAGACGAUAAGAUCGUUUAUUUACAACUACACCGGAAUAGUAUACAAAGUCAACAGAUCUCAACCAAUCGUUAAAUAGGAUUUAUGGCUACACAAACCGUUGAGGAUAGUUCUAGAUCUGGGCCAAGACGAACUACUGUAGGGGAUUUAUUGAAACCAUUGAAUUCGGAAUAUGGUAAAGUAGCUCCGGGAUGGGGGACUACACCACUUAUGGGGGUCGCAAUGGCUCUAUUUGCGAUAUUCCUAUCUAUUAUUUUGGAAAUUUAUAAUUCUUCCGUUUUACUGGAUGGAAUUUCAAUGAGUUAGGUUUAUAAGAACUAUGAAGUCCUAGUCUUUCAAUCAAAGAAAAAAUUACUUUAGACUUGGAUUUCUAGACCAUUCUAUUCUGGUAGUUCGACCGUGGAAUUUAUUUGUUUCGGUAUUUGCGGAAUAUGAGUGUGUGACUUGUUAUAAUUGAUCCUAUUGAUAAUACAUAGAAUGGACCUGUUAUCUCUAUCAAGAUGAUUCUACCUCGUCGGAUAUUUAUUCUAGUAUCUGGAGCACGGAAUAUAUAGAAUAGAUCAAGAAAAGAAAUAUUUGAACUAUGAUUCAUACCUNACUUAGAUCGAGAUAUUGGACAUAGAAUGCCAAUCUUUAAAAUGUAAAAAAAAAGGAGUAAUCAGCUGUGACACGUUCACUAAAAAAAAAUCCUUUUGUAGCUAAUCAUUUAGCGGGAAAAAUUGAAAAACUCAACAUGAGGGAGGAGAAAGAAAUAAUAGUAACUUGGUCUCGGGCAUCUACCAUUAUACCCACAGCUCACCACAAAAUUGGUCUAGGCUAGCAAGAUAAGUCUCACAUCGCUUGAUACUUAUGAGUCUGAGCCUGACGAGAACGUCAGGACUUAAGAGGGGGAGAAUAUAAGAUCUCAGAUAGUCCUAUAUAUAAGAUAUAAUAGGACUAAAACUUUUAACCUAACUUAAAUAUUUUGAACGAUGGUUAGGCCGAAGAGGUUAAGAGUGUUAAGCGUACUAGGACGGGAAUAGUCUUAGGCUUAGUUUGGUAUUGAGGCCUAUCUAAGGCUAUUAGAUAAAAUGGAGUUGAAGAAAAAGCAUAUAGGGAUAUGCUUUUGCGUUUUCCGGUGGGACCGCAGAAAAUAUAUCGUAACCGACUCAUCACGAUAUACAGAACGUAAUAUUAUGUACGAAAACAAAAAGGGUAUUUUUUCAACGUACUUUCUCACCGCACGUAACGCAAUCUCUUAGCAAUCCCAAACGAAGACUUAGGACAGGAAUAGUCCUAGGACGAGAGAUAACUUAACGGAUGGUAACUGCGGGUGCAUUUUUGAAUAACGGAGUUAUAUAUGAGAGAUAUAUUUGAGAAAAAAGAGUAGGAAUAAAUUAAAUAUUUUCCAAAUUUUGAGGGGUAUAUAGAAAAUUAUUUCAAAAAACUAUUAUUCCUAUGGAAUAUAAAUUAGAAUUAUGAUCUUUAUACAGCAUGAGGAGUUUUUUUUUUCAAUAUAUCAACUUAAGAUUUUUGAUCGAAUCUAAGCUUUUUAAUAAAACCUACUACUUAGGUUCAUUAUAAAAUAGAUUAAAUUAAGGACAUUAAUUCUUUAAUAAAAGAUGUUUUUUUUUUUUAUCUUAGAUUGAAUUUGCAGUAAGUUGUUGGCCUGUUUGAAAUUAAGGGCCAUCAAAUGAAAUAUCUUUCUCCAUCUUUCGGUAAGACCGCGAAAAGUAUAUUAUAAUGAACUUAUUACGCCAUGUAAAAUAUAAUAUUACUUGCAAAAAUAAAUGAGAUAAUUGUUUGAAAAACUUCCUCGAUCAUAUGAUGUAAUGCAAUCUCUGUGCAUUCCCAAAUAGAUAUGUAACAAGGCUUCAUGAGGAGUCAUUUCAAUAAUAAUGUGACCCAAGUGCAAAUAUAUAUUGUAUAAAUUUUUGAUACAUAUUUCAGAACGUGCAACGGGUGCUCGACACACAAGAAAAAAUAUAUUUCAUGCUAUUAUGUGUCGGCACACAAGAAGUUUUUUGACUGGCACACAUCGGCACUGCUCGACACGCACCGUGCCGUACCGUGCCGAUAAGUUUCCAGCAUAACCCCAUGCCAUGGCACUUAAAUCCUUGACUGGAAUACGUAUAACUACAGAAAUAAGCAUGAACAUUAUCAAUUUUGCAUUUGGAUUAAAAAAAAAAAAACUGGAUUAAUCUUACAAAAAAGAAAAAUAACAUUUGGGUGGUUAGAUUGCAAUAUAAAAAAUAAGAAUAAUUAUAAGUUUAAAAUAAAAUUAUUUUAUCUAAUUAAUUAAUUUUACCUAAUUAAAUAAUAAUUUAAUAAAUUAAUAAAUUUUUAACUAUAAAUAUUGUAUAAGAUAAUAAAAAAACAUAAAUUAAUUAAUUAAAUAAAAAGUAAGAUAACUUUUUAAUUAAAUAGUAAAUUAUCUAAUUAAUUAGAUUAGUCAAAAUAUUUAUAGGUUGAUCAAAUAAAUAUUGAUUAUUAGAUAAAUACAUUAAAUAAUUGAUUUUCAAUUAACUAAUUAAUUAUAAACAAUUAAUUAAUUAACUAUUUAAGCAAUUGAUAAUAAUUUAAAUACAAUAAUUAGAUUAAUUAAUAAGACAAUACAAUAAUUAAAAUUAGAUUUUGAUUUUAAUUAAGUUUCAUACCCUUAUACAAUUAUACCAGCUUAUUUUUCAGAAAAAAAAAGGAAACUACAACUCCAAGCCAAGCCCUAAAUUUUGUGUUUUGGUAUAAAAAGGGGAAUAAGAGUUUAUUCCCAAAACCAAAUGUACUAUUACAAAUGCAUCUUAAUUUAUGCAUUAUAUAUCUAUAUAUAUAUGAAAUUUAUAAGAUAUUUUUACUUAUUUAUUUCUUAUUAUUAUUCAAAAUUCUUAAAUUUAUCCUAAAUUUAUCAAAAUGCCUUUCUAAAAUUUAAUUCUAUCAGCAAACUCUAAAAGAAGAAUAUUUGAUUUGUUUUAAAUCAAUAAAAAUAUUUUUAUCAUUUAGGAAUAAAUAAGUUAUUUUUUAAAUUUUGAAAAAAUAUAUUAGAUAUUUCCAAUUUAUAAAAUACAAUAUAUUAUUUAGGUACCGUAAGGAUUAGAUAUUAGCUAUCAAUUAAUUAUUAUACAUCCAUGUGCUCAAAAAUAUGUUAAUAUUUUUAGAAAUAUUUGUCUCAAACUUCGUGCCUACCUAACCCCACGGUUGGGCGCUGGAUCCGAGCACGACUUUGAUGCGUUCAGACCUUCAGAUCACGACGAUGGAGGGAUCGAGUGCGUGGGUGGUCGUACAGCCUUCGACCAAACAUCGAAUUAUGUCGACACGUAGCAUCGACACCCAUAGAACACACACUUACAAAUACUUGUGAAAAUAAUUGGCUGGCCUUGGUUCACCACGUAAACCGUGAACCACCGCGCAUGAAACAUAAUAGUCAAAAGAUAGGGUAAACUUUAAAUACCACCUCUGUGGUUUCACACUUUCUCUCUCUAGUACUUGUGAUUUAAAGUGUAUCAAUUUAGUGUCAUAUGAUUUUAUUUUUAUCUUUUUAUUGUUUAUUCUACUAAUUUUUUUGUUAAAUCAGUGAGAAAGUUAAAACUAAAAGAUACUAAAGUAAAUAUUUGAUAAACCUAGGUAGGUGUCUGAAGCUUUUUGUAUACGAUUUUACGAAAUAUUAACAAAAAAGCUGAUAAAAAUAUAAAAAUGAAACCACAAAACACUAACUAGAUACACUUUUUAAACCACAGGGCACUAAAGUUAGAGACUGCGAAACCACGGAAGUGACAUUUGAAAUUUACCCUUAUAUUUAUAAUAAUUUUUAGGACUAAUUUCAUAUAGGUCCUUGCAAAUAUAGUGAAUUAUAAAUAUAUUCCUACAAAGUUCAACUUUCAUAUGUUGUUACUAUGAAAGUUCUAAUGUUUUUAAAUAUGUCCCUUCAGUUUGUUACCGUUAAAACACUAUUUAUUUUAUAAAUAAAAUGACUUUUUUGCUAUCACAAAUAUAUUCCUCCAAAAGUCGCAACUAUUAAUAAAAAAGGGGUAAAAAGAUUAAUUCAUCUCAUUAACUAUCUAGGGUUAAGUAUUUUAUCUGUGGUUAAGUAAUUUUUUCUAACGGAUCUUAACGGCGGGGACAUAUUUGAAAACAUCAGGACUUUUGUAUAGACAAUAUAUGAAAGUUAAACUUGUAGGGAUAUAUUUAUAAUUCAUUAUAUUUGUAGGGACUUAUGUAAAUUUAACCCUAAUUUUUAUUAAUAUAUAUAUAUAUAUAUAUAUAUUGUCGGUGAUUGAGAGAAAAGGUGGCAUGAAUAGCGCAUCCAUCUUCUUGCCCUUGAGAAGCGACAGCACAGCAAUAAAGAAUAUCACCAAACUACUAGUAAACAAAGAAAUAAAGCUCAGGCAAAAAAAAACCAGUCAUUCCUCCCACCAAACAACAGUCGGAAAUGAAUUCUAGUAUCAACUUCGGCAUCUCAAAUAAACAACUCCAAGUGCAAACUAGAACACAAAUAAACUGACAAAUUGCCAUGCUGAGAACGACAAAAUUUAGAAAAUCCGCAACUAAACAAAGUACUCAGACUCUCUCCUUACAUGAAGAGAUUAGGGCGGGAGGCCUUGUAGGUUGUCUUGAGCUUCCUGGUAGGCGGCCGCACCUUCCUAAAGACGAGAGGGAACUUGAUCUUCGAAUCGUGGAACUGCUUGGUGCUCUCGCGCUUGCAGAGCUUGGCAGGGACGGUGGCGGUCUUGAUGAUCUGGAUGCAGUGGAACCUCACACGGUGGCGGGAUGCCAUCUCAUUGUACAUCUGCUCCACGGCCCCAUUAAGAGUGGUGUCUCUGUACUCCUUGUACAUGUUGUGGUAUCCCGUCCUGCUCUGGUACCUCAGCCAUAUGCCAUAGUUCUUGAUCUUUGUUGGGUUCCUCUCGAAUAUCUUGACCAUAAAUUUAGUCCAAGUCAGAUGCGUUAAUAUAAAGUAAAAUCGUAUAGGCGCAGUGUGAACUAUAACACAUUUUUACAAUGGACACCUGAGCUAAAAAUGAUGAUCUUGAGUACCCAGCUUUCCAGUUUGCUUGAUUUUCCUACCUCUCCAUCAGAGCUUNCCAUUAAUAGGGGUUAGAAGUGAGAGUUAGCAUUCCGACGCACCAAUCGCCCUGGCCACGACGCCUUCUUUGUUUGUACUGAUGAAUACUUUUUAUUUUUUAUUGGUAGCUUCUGUAAUUUCUACCCGCUGUGAAGUGCAGGUCUUUUUCUCUAGAGUGUAUAUAUAUAUAUAUAGAUGAUGAGAUUUCUCCCAAUGUCGGAAGAAGAAUAUUCUUAGUUGAAAAGACGAUUAAAUGGGUACACUUAUCUCUCGUUUAAAAUUACUCUCUCCAACUACUAAUAUUGAGACUUAAUUUUAUACAGCUCUAACUACCUCAGUUAAAUUCAAAUAUAUCAAACAACGACAGUAUAUAUAGUUUCAACCAUAUGCGAUGAAACUGUCCCUAAAAUAAGCAAAUAUGUAAAUAUAGCUUCCGACCGGCACUCGGUCGAACGGAAAAUUUACAUUUAUAGAUCA
rnacentral:lncRNA from 1 species